rnacentral:lncRNA from 1 species
AUUUAAACUGUGAGACACUUCGACUGGCCAAAUAGGAUAUGCUAACUAAUUUCAAGGUUGAGGCAAAUCAAUCCUUGAUCUAAACCUGAAAGACAACACCUCUCUAAAUGGAACCACUAAACCACCACCACUUGGUUUAGCUAUUUGAAAUUUUCUUGAUUACAUUGCAAAAAUAUAUCUAAAUAUUCUACACAGCCUAUACAGUUGCAAUAUGUCUCACUUUUCACAAACUUUAUCUAAGCUUUCACAUUUUUUACUUCUCCUCAUUUGCAGGUUAUUCAUGACUUGUAUUCUUCAGCUUUUAUUUUAUUUACCAUUUUUUUCCUUUCAAAGAAAGAAAAAGAAACGUAAAUAGAGCAAGAUUCAAACAAAAACGGCGAUAGUGUGGUCUAACCACUCUGGGAAAAUCAAUACGAAUGUAUUCCAAAUAAAUCGUCUACCAUAAUAUAUACAUGCAUAUGUAGUCCCUUUAUAUGGAUGUCAUCUAGCUUCUUCCCUAUUUAGCUCAGCAAAACUCUUGGGUUCAACUCUCUAUAUCUCUCUUCAAAAAAUGAAGCUCACUUUUCGUUUUAUCUCAGCAGUUGCGCUUUUGUUCAUGCUCCUCGUCGCCACAGGUUCAGAUGUCAUAUCACCAUGAUAUUUCUAAAUAAAAAUCUCAUGUCAGUAUGCAAUAUUCGUCAGUGUUUGGCUAUAGUUAUGUAUAUUCUUGUAUAUGAUUACUUUGUGUUAUACCUUUAGGGAUGGGUCCGGUGACGGCGAAGGCACGCAUGUGUGAAACGAGUAGCCAGUUGUUCAAUGGACCGUGUCUGAGCACAACCAAUUGCGCCAAUAUUUGCCAGAAUGAAGGUUUUCCAGAUGGUGACUGCAAAGGAUUCCGCCUUCGCUGCAUCUGCAACAGACCAUGUUGAUGAAAGACAAGUUACAAAGGAAACAGACCAUGUUGAUCCAUGAUCGUUUUAUGUUGUUUUUUUUUUCUUUCUAUUUUAUCCUUAGUCCUUCAAAUGACUUAAUGGGAUAUAAAUCUCGAAAGCCCUUUAGUUUGUGUAUUUCAAUUUUCUUCUGAGGUUAAAUUAUAAUAACACAGUUUAGCAAGUUGUAAGUUUUAUAAACUAUGACUCAUUGACUUGUCAUCUUUCUUCGCAUAGGAGAUUUAUUCAGUCUAGAAGUUGAAUUAAUUUGAUAUUAGUAGGUUUUAUAUGAUUUUGGAUAAAUCGAGAAUUCACUAUGAUUUUAGUUAAACCACUUUAAAGUCUCAUCUAAAAAAAUUGACUUUUAUUUUUACUUUAAUUAAGAAAAUCAAGCAAAACACUUUAAAAUUACUAGAAGAAUCAUAAAAUUCACAAUUUUUUUAGUAACAGAAUUUCAAAAUAGUUUACCAAAUAGUAAAUUCAAUAAUAGUAGAUUUUUGAAUCAAUUUUAAAAUUCAUGUUUGAGUAACCGUUGAUUUUUUUUAGUUCAAAUCACCCCAAACUUUCAAUUUAAUAAACCCCCUAUUCUAAUGACAUCCAUAUAUAUAUAUAUAUACAUGCCUUUCUUUGUGUUUGAUUUACAUUUAUUUACAACACUUAUUUUUAUUUGUUGGUCACGGCAAAUCAGUCACAAAACAGUCACUAAUUAGUCGUAAAAUUUAAGAAACUGAGUCACUGAUCAGUUGUUAUUCGGUAGCAGAAAUAUACCAACUGUUUUCCUACUAAUAUAAUUAGUCGCCACUGUAGUUGGUAAUUGUGUCGUUAUAUCAGCCGUCAAAUUGAGUCGUGAAAUUCAGACGUCAAAUUGAGUCGUUGAAAAAGUCACUAAGCCGUUGUAUUAUAGUCACUAAAUAAGUCGUAAAUCGGUCGCUAAAUUGCCUACUUAUUAGCGACUGGAGUCACGACUGCCCCAAAUAGUAGCAAAACAGUCGCUAAAUACCGACUGUUUUACGAUUGAAUAAUUUAGCGACGAGGUGUAUUUAGACGACUCAAAUCAGUCGUAAAUCAGUCGCAUAUGUCCAUUUAGCGACUGAUUACCGACUCAUAUCAUAGUCGGUAAUAACGUGUUUUCUUGUAGUGCAUCGAAUAUAUUUCUAUUGAUAUCUUUCAUGUUGCAGAUGAAUGUUUUCCAGAUUUAUCAGUAUUGUUAUUUUAUAUGAUUUUUAUAUAUUUGUCAUAUACUCAUGUAGAUCAAUAUUAACGAUAUUGAGGACCAAAAAAGUGAGAAGCCCAUGAAGCGUGAUGUGAGUAUACGAGGAGAUGAAAUAUUAAUGGAGGAAAAACCAGUUAAUCAUGUUGAAAGAUUAGAGAAUACAAGCAAGAAUGAUCGGGGUUCAUAUGUUUUUUAAAUGAAUGUUGAAAUCUAUUACCAGAAGAUGACGAUAUCCCAAAAAAUAGGUUUACAUAUAAUAUACUUUGAACCACAUUUUCUAAACCGUAUCAAUACUUUCGGAUAGGUGAAUUGUUAAGACAAGGUUGUUAUUAUAUUCAUGCAUUCUUCUACUUUUCUCUAUUAAUGUAUUGUUGAGAUAAGACAAGAUUAAUGUUAUUAUAUUCCUGUAUUCUUUUAUCUUUUUUCUGUUAAGAUGAAAAUGCUCUAAUUUUAUUGAUCCUAUAAUUUACUUGGCAAAGAAGACGUGUUUUGAGAUUACCUUACUAACCGCUCUCCACUAUCACAUUUGCAAUCUCGGUUCUCUCGUAUGUGAAUGUUACUACGCUCUUCACUAUCACAUUUUCAAUCUUGGUUCUCUCGUAUGUGAAUGUUACUCAACUCCACCUAUGACUUAACUGUUCUAAAUUACCAUAUUUUCAAUACUCUGUUGGUGUUCAUAUAUCGUGCGGUUAUCCUAAUCAAAACUCGCGAGGUUAUUAUUUUAUAUUAUUAUGGUAUAUACAGAUGUGGUAUCAUCUACAUUAUAACGGUCCGGUUCCUGGCCCAAAAAUUUUCAUAAAAGAAUGGACUUCUCUACGGCCCAUUUGACAAAAACCUAAGGUGCCCUUCAUCCUUUCCUAUAAAAAGAGAUGCAACCCUUAUUUUCUCUCAUUCUGAAACUUGAGCGAAGCUCUGCAGAGAUUUAGAGAGACUAGGAAACCCUAGCCGUCAAGCUUCUCUUUUCCUUUUCUCUCUUCUUCUCUCACGCCUCUCUCUCUCCCUCUCCUUUCUCUUUCUGUUGGAUCUCUUCCUCUCUCCUCGCCGAGAGUCCCCCGAGAGCAAGCCGAGCCGCCGGUGGUGGCUGUGUGGUGUUGUGGUGGUGACCAGAUCUCGUCUCUCUUGUUUACUUGUUCCAGAUCUGUUCAGAUCUCAUCCCCUUUGUCUCUUGCUCCAGAUCCAGAUCCAGAUCUAGGCUAAGGUGGAGUGUCUCAAACCCAACCUUCUCUCAUGAUUCUGUAUACUCCUCUAUGUUGGAGUUAGGUUUGAUUAGACUCUGUUUGAGAGCUAGGUUGAUAGAAUAUGUUUAUUGCUAGGAUGAUAAAUGAAUGGAUCACGAUGCAUAAGAACUCUCAUACUGUUAAAUGAGACUUAAUGAACUGUCUUGUGUUGUUGUGGUGAUGAUUGAUUGGUAAUUAAUACUCGUAUGUUUGGAUGUGUAGUCCCAUGAGUUGUUUGUGAUUAAAGCUAGGAUGCUGGAAAGAAGUGAAUGCUAAGAUGAUAGAUGACUACGGAUUGUUAUUGAUACUGUAAGUGAAACCUGAGUGUGAUGUGUAUUGUGUGUGACACCGAUAACGGGUGGCGACUAGUGAAUGCGUUCAAGUACGAAUCUAAGUGUAAAGGAAAGGGAAUGAGAAUGAGAAUGGAUAAGUGAAAUGUGAAAGGAUAAGUGAAUGUAUAAGUGAAUAACGUUAAGGUUAAGCAUGGGUUGGGAAAUCAUAUAGAGUCUAGAGGGAGUACGUGGGGUAGUAGUUCUACGCUAGGCAUCCAUAGGAGCUGUGGUGGAAUCCACAAGAAUAUGGAGGCACCCAUAGGAGCUGUGGUGGAAUCCACAAGAAUAUGGGGUAGAAGUCUAGUGAGAGCUACCCACGGAGAAAAGAGAAAAGAUGAGCCAGCCGCGAGAGGCGGGAUAUAAAAACGUGCAUUGUAGAGUCCUUAGUUCAUGGUCGGGUAUCUGGGUGUUAAAGUUGUCAUAAGAUUGAGUCGGUCUUGUAUGUCGAGUCGGUUAAGUCUAUGGUUUGACGUGUGUGACAAUGAGUGAGAUUAUUGUACUGAUUGAUCGCUAGGUUGUUAGAAAUGUAUAGAAUCGAAUGUGUGGAAAUAAAUGAUGAUGAUAUGAAAUGUUAAGAUGCAUCAACUGAUUGUAGUGGCUAGUCAACCCUAGUUCCCGCAUAGAGUAGUAUAGAGUGUCAUGCGGGCAGGUUGGUCCAGAGUCACUUCACUGAGUAACUUGUUGCUCAUCCCUCCCUUUCUAUUUUCCUGUGCGCAGGACUGUAAGUAGAAGUAUAUGGAUGUGGGUGUGACGGUAUUUCAAAGAAGGUUAUGUGUCCGUCGACUCUUGGGACCAGUAACGGGACACAUAUGGUUGUCUAAAUGAGUAGACACGUGUCCAUAACGCCUUUUCGAUAACCCCGGUCGGACACCGGGGGAUCGGGCCAUUACAAUUGGUAUCAGAGAGGGUGGCCAUUACAAUUGGUAUCAGAGCGGGUUAAGAUCCCUUAGUUUUGUCCUAAGGGAUCAGCAUUUCCGACGUUUUCAAAAAAAAAAAAAAAACUUGUUUUCAUUAAAAGAAAAGAGUCUGUGAAAGUUUUGAUUCUCUUAAAAGUUCCGUAAACGAUUUCAAAACCACCCACUAUAUCUAUACGACUAAUAUGGUUUUGAUUAGAUACAUUUUACUCGCAGAAUUUCUUUCUAAGCUUAAUUCAUACUUUGGUUUUUAAACGAUCCCGAACAAAGUUGUUCUCGCCUUUUGUGCCUCCCUUGUAUGAUAUGUGAUUGUGUGAGUCCAUUUCGAAAUCGGAUGUUAAGUUCGGAAGUCUAGGGCUUGGAAUUCGGGGAAGAAUUCCGAUUAACAGGGGGAGAUUGUAACAGCCCGGUUCCUGGCCCAAAAAUUUUCAUAAAAGAAUGGGCUUCUCUACGGCCCAUUUGACAAAAACCUAGGGUUCCCUUCAUCCUUCCUAUAAAAAGAGAUGCAGCCCUUCUUUUCUCUCAUUCUGAAACUUGAGCGAAGCUCUGCAGAGAUUUAGAGAAACUAGAAAACCCUAGCCGUCAAGCUUCUCAUUUCCUUUUCUCUCUUCUUCUCUCACGCCUCUCUCUCUCUCUCCCUCUCCUUUCUCUUUCUGUUGGAUCUCUUCCUCUCUCCUCGCCGAGAGUCCCCCGAGAGCAAGCCGAGCCGCCGGUGGUGGCUAUGUGGUGUUGUGGUGGUGACCAGAUCUUGUCUCUCUUGUUUACUUGUUCCAGAUCUGUUCAGAUCUCAUCCCCUUUGUCUCUUGUUCCAGAUCCAGAUCCAGAUCUAGGCUAAGGUGGAGUGUCUCGAACCCAACCUUCUCUCAUGAUUCUGUAUACUCCUCUAUGUUGGAGUUAGGUUUGAUUAGACCCUGUUUGAGAGCUAGGUUGAUAGAAUAUGUUUAUUGCUAGGAUGAUAGAUGAAUGGAUCACGAUGCAUAAGAACUCUCAUACUGUUAAAUGGGACUUAAUGAACUGUCUUGUGUUGUUGUGGUGAUGAUUGAUUGGUAAUUGAUACUCGUAUGUUUGGAUGUGUAGUCCCAUGAGUGGUUUAUGAUUAAAGCUAGGAUGCUAGAAAGAAAUGAAUGCUAAGAUGAUAGAUGACUACGGCUUGUUAUUGAUACUGUAAGUGAAACCUGAGUGUGAUGUGUAUUGUGUGUGACACCGAUAACGGGUGGCGUCUAGUGAAUGAGUUAAAGUACGAGUCUAAGUGUAAAGGAAAGGGAAUGAGAAUGAGAAUGGAUAAGUGAAAGUGAAUAAGGAUGUGAAAGGAUAAGUGAAUAUAUAAGUGAAUAACGUUAAGGUUAAGCAUGGGUUGGGAAAUCAUACAGAGUCUAAAGGGAGUACGUGGGGUAGUAGUUCUACGCUAGGCAUCCAUAGGAGCUGUGGUGGAAUCCACAAGAAUAUGGAGGCACCCAUAGGAGCUGUGGAGGAAUCCACAAGAAUAUGGGGUAGAAGUCUAGCGAGAGCUACCCACGGAGAAAAGAGAAAAGACGAGCCAGCCGCGAGAGGCGGGAUAUAAAAACGUGCAUUGUAGAGUCCUUAGUUCAUGGUCGGGUAUCUGGGUGUUAAAUGUGUCAUAAGAUUGAGUCGGUCUUGUAUGUUAGUCGGUUAAGUCUAUGGUUUGACGUGUGUGACAAUGAGUGAGAUCAUUGUACUGAUUGAUCGCUAGGUUGUUAGAAAUGUAUAGAAUCGAAUGUGUGGAAAUAAAUGAUGAUGAUAUGAAAUGUUAAGAAGCAUCAACUGAUUGUAGUGGCUAGUCAGCCCUAGUUCCCGCAUAGAGUAGUUUAGAGUGUCAUUCGGGCAGGCUGGUCUAGAGUCACUUCACUGAGUAACUUGUUACUCAUCCCUCCCUUUCCAUCUCCCUGUGCGCAGGACUGUAAGUAGAAGUAUAUGGAUGUGGGUGUGACGGUAUUUCAAAGAAGGUUAUGCGUCCGUCGACUCUUGGGAUCUGUAACGGGACACAUAUGGUUGUCUAAAUGAGUAGACACGUGUCCAUAACGCCCUUUCGAUAACCCCGGUCGGACGCCGGGGGAUCGGGCCGUUACAAUCUACAUAUAUUGUUAUGUUUUCAUUGUUGAUUGUUAAAUUGAUGUAAGGUUUAUAUGAAAACGUAUAAUGUUUAGUUUGUAUAGUUUUGUGUUGAUUAUAGAAGAGGACAUGUCAGGUUGCUUUUUAGGGUUUUCUUUUUAAGGUUUAGUUCAAUGUAUGAUACUAUAUAUUUUUGGAAUUGAUAUAUUUAAAACCACAUAUAAUAUGAUUUCAGUUUUCAAAUAGUUUCUAUAAUCUUUUUUUUUUUUUGCAGCAAACGGCUAUUUUAUUACUCAAGCUUGAGGUGGUCUGGGAAGCCAGACCGGAAUAGAACAACCAAUAACACAUAAGGGUCUAUGAAAAGAGCGUGCAUUCCUAGCUAACGAAUCUGCUAAUUCAUUUUGCGUCCUUGAAAAGUAGCUUAUCGUGAAGUCUGAAAAACACAACCGAAGAGUUUGAAUUGUUUCCAGUUCAGUUGAGAAAUUGGGCUAAGCUUGUGGCUGUUCUAUCAUUGCAAUCAGAUCCUUGCAAUCCGUCCCAAACCUCUGACAGAUCGAGUGUUGUAGCAUGCUCUCCAUUGCCCACUGUAGCGGUUCCAGUUCCGAAUGUAAAGUUGUUUGCCUCCUCCUCAGGUUUCUUAACCCCAUGAGUUGAAUCUUACCCAUGGUAUCCUUCCAAACCCAUCUCAUCCCACUAAACUGAGCUGUAGAGGUUCAUGAACCAUCCACCAUACAAAUAUUACCCAAGCUUAAGGCUUGUGUUUCUUCAGUAGUUUGUACAUGUGUCGGAAUCGGCAUAGAGUCUCGCGCAUUGUACCAAACUUGACACUCACUCUCUGCAUACCUGACUAGUUCCAAAGGGUCCCUGUCUAUGCCUGUAAACAACUUAUCAUUCCUAGCUUUCCAGAUGUACCAAAUUAUCCAAGGAUAGGGAUCUCUAUCAUCUUCUGGCUCCAGAAUACCAUUCUUUCUCCAGAAAAGAUAGUCCAUGUUAGCAUAAAUACUUGAUACAGGGAAGAUUUGAGAUCUCGACGGUGUUACUGAUAGCUCCCAUGCUUGUAAGGCAGGUGUACACUCAAAGAUAGCAUGAGUAACGGUCUCUUCUGGCGUUCCACAUCUUGGGCAAUAGUUAUCACAGCGCAUAUGACGACGUACCAAAUUCCUUGUUACUGCUAUCUGUCCUGAUAUUAGUUGCCAUAUAAGAUGACAUAUCUUUUGUGGCGCAUUCACCUUCCAAGCAAAGGCUUGAAGUCUUGUAAUGCUGGGUUGUAGAACUUCUAUUUUCUCCUCUUUUCUCAUCAAGUUUGUAGCAACCCAAUAUCCUGACUUAACAGUAUAUUGUCUGUUCUUUGUAUGACUCCAGCAAACAGUAUCUCGUCGAUGGUUAGGGCUUAUGGCCAACUCAAAAUCAUUGGAAUAUCCUCUUGAGCUACAUAUUGUUCCAGCAAACUAACAUCCCACUCCUUUGAAACAGGAUUGAUAAGACUGCUUACGGUCAUCUUUGGGUUUACUACUGGGGCCCUGGCAUGAGCCAAUCUAGAUGGGGUCAAAGGGAUCCAAGGAUCCCCCCCCACACAUUAAUUUCAUACCCUGAAUGCACUUUGCUUCUGAUGCCCAGAAGUAAAAGCUUCCUCGCGGCAAUAAUACUCGUCCAUACAUACGAUGGGGUAUCUGCUGUACUAACUCGCAGCGGCGAACUCAGACUGUAAUAUCUUCCCCGAAGAACUCUCGCUACUAGUGAAUCCGGAAAUUGAACGAGACGCCAAAGCUGUUUAGCUAGAAGCGCUAGAUUAAAUUCAUGGAUCAUACGGAAACCAAUUCCUCCCUCCUCCCGAGGUGCACACAUUUUUUCCCAUUUUGCCCAAUGGAUUCCUCUUUUCGGAGGAUUCGAGCUCCACCAGAAUUGUGCAAUGGCACUUGCUAAAUUCUCACAUAUCUCUAAAGGAAGCAGAAAGCUGGACAUGACAUAAGUCGGCAGAGCUAGCAGUAUCGAUUUAAUCAAAACCUCUUUUCCUCCCUUAGAUAACCAACUACUAGUCCAGCCAUUCACUCUGUGUAGGAGCUUCUCCUUUAAUAAAGCAAAUAAUUUACACUUUGAUCCACUGAUAUCCUCUAGGAUUCCUAAGUAGGAUCCCAUCCCGCCUUCAUUUUGUAUACCAAGAGUAUCCUUGAUCUGCUGUCUAUCAUUCGCUGGAAUCCUUUUACCAAAGAGUAAUGAGGAUUUGUCAAAAUUAAUACGUUGACCUGAUGCUUUCUCAUAUUUUCUGACUACUUUCAUAACUUCUUCACAUUCACGGGGCUCCACCUUACAGAAGAAAAGGCUAUCAUCAGCAAAGAGAAGGUGAGAUACCGAGGGGCUAGCUCGAGCGACUCGCAUCCCCGUUAUCUUCCCUUGAUUCUCUGCUUGAUUAAGAAGGCUAACGAAUGCUUCCGUACAUAAAAUAAAUAUGAAAGGAGACAAAGGAUCUCCUUGUCGUAGUCCGGGACGAUGUUUCCCCUUGUUUCUAUAAUCAAAACACUAUAUAUUGUGAUAAUAAUUGAAUGAUGACCACUUUAAAUUAGAUAUUAAUUUUUUGAUAGUUUCUAUAAACUAUUUGAAACUAUAUUUUUUUCUGCGAUAUUCUCUCACACAUAAGAAACGUUAAAUCAUCUAGUGAAAGUAGUUUCCUAUUAAAACUGAUAUUGUUUCUAUAAACUCCACUUAAAAUAGGUUACUUUAGUUACAAAUAUAAAGAAAAAUAUUAAUUCUUUCUAAAACUAAAACGAUACUUUUUCUAUUAAAAUAUGUUAACAUAUUUUAUUUUAACUGUAAAGAUAUAGAUACUUUUAUANNNNNNNNNNNNNNNNNNNNNNNNNNNNNNNNNNNNNNNNNNNNNNNNNNNNNNNNNNNNNNNNNNNNNNNNNNNNNNNNNNNNNNNNNNNNNNNNNNNNUCAUAUAACUCGUCCGUACAUUGCAUCAUUCCAUAAAGCUUCUUUGUCCCGAUCAUCGUCUCCCCUGUUGCGUACAGUGGCCCCUUCCCGUUUUUGCCCAACUUUUUGACUUCAGACAAUAGCUUUUCGGUGAAAGCAACCUUCUUCUUAAUGAACAUCUGCGUAUCUCCGCUCAGGUCCUUUGGGUUCUCCUUACAAAAAUAAUUAUCGUAGAGGAUUCUGCUGUCGCCGGCACUGUAUGUAGAAAUAUCCAGAGUGCAUUGGUCAUACCAUAUUGUUCCUGCUUUGUUUCUCGGACAUUUCUUACGAAGCUGUCAUAUAUAUAGCGACACAACGUCGAUAAAGAAGAAUAUUGCGUUAAGUAUAUUACGUAUAUAAUACAGUUUUUUUUUUGUUUUCUUCCAGCCCUAAAAGUGUAUCAGAUUAUGUCAGUUAAACGUUCUACGUAGAGUACAAGAAUUUUCAUCAAAGUCGGAUAUGAUAUUUUGGGGAACAUAAACAUUUAAUAAGAAUUUUAAGAACUUUUCAUAAUAUAUUUGGUAACUUUUUUUGUAUAUACUACAUAAGUUUUAAUAUUUUUUUGAGUUAAAGCCAAUGUUUUACUGAGCUAUUACUGGGAUCUGGCCCGUUUGUAUAUGUUCAUACUUGAGUGCUAAUAAGAUAAUAGUGAAGUGAUGUUACCCCAGAGAGGGCUGUGGCGAGGCACGAGCGACACUUAGACCCGUAGGAGUCGCCACGACACUGGAGCAUGACGAAGGCGGUAUCGGGAGGUAUAUUUUUGUAGGGUCUAUCCAUAUUAGAGUCAAGGGCGAAACCUUUGUGCAGAUUAAAGGCGGAUAUAUUUUUGAGGGCGAUAUUGAGAUUUUUCUCGAACACACUCCCUGGCUUGAAUUUCCCUUGGGUGUUGUUGCAUGCGUGGUGGAUAUACUCAUUGGUAACGUUGAGGGAAGAAACAACGCUGGGUAUAAGGAGGAGUUGUAUGGCCACCACGGCCAAGAUAGGGGCCGAUCCAAAAAUUGAAGGCAUUGUUUGUGAUCUUUGAGAAGUGGAGAUGUUUAUAUAGGAGACUUGAUGAGAAUUUUAGAGUUGAAGUGAUUAUGAUUCCUUUUUUAAUUUCUACUUUGGUGACCUUAAAAAAAUUCGAUUCAUCAUCUUAGUUUGUAUAUAUAAGAAAUGUUUUAGUCUGAGAGAGGAGAGUGGUUGAGAACUUUAGUAUAUGCGGCGAGAGAACAGGGCUGAUGGAAAAAGUCAAAGUUGGACAAUUUUUUUAGAACCGUACGUUUUCAACCUGAAAUAAAAGGCAGUAGUAAUUUAUUACGAAACUAAACCCACAAGCUUCGGACAGAAGUGGAUCAAGAGGAGAGCAGAUCUGAAGGACCUUCCUUUUAAACCUGCAAAACUAAAGAAACGAGAUCUACCAAAAAGCAACUAGAGGCAAAAUCCUCACAAAAGCAAGGAGACAAUAGAAAACUCAAAUCGAAGUAACACUACAGUCACUACAAGAAAACAGCAAGGAUUCUGAGGGAAAAAAUCGUCGGAAUUUCGUCGGAAUAUCGUUAUUCCGACGACAUACCGACGAAACAAGUCGUCGGAAAUAAUUCUUCGGAAUUUCUUCUUUCCUCGGAAAUCCCUCGGAAUUUUCCGACGGAAUUCCGAGAAAACAAACUUCCGAGGAAAUUCCGAGGACCACUAGUUUGUCGGAAAUGUCCUCGGAAUAUACCGAGGGAGAACUUCGUCGGGAUAUUUCCUCGGACGUUCAUCGAUCGAUGCGUUUUGGACAUAUAUACAUCGAUCGAUAGGAAUAUACCGAGCGUUUUUUUGUAAACAGAUCGAUCGAUGGAUUUAUGUCCAAAAACGCAUCGAUCGAUCGGGUAAAAAAUAUAAUUAAUUUUCUCGAAAUGUAAAAAAUAUUAUUUUUUUAAAAAAAAUAAAAUUUCUGAAAUUUAAAUUCGAAAAUAUGAAAUUAAAAUUAAAAUUGAAAUCAUAUUAAUUAAUAUUCAAAGUUUCACAAAUAAAAAUAAAACAUUCCGAGUUUUUGGAAAAAAAAAAAAAAAAAAUCUACGGGUCUGGCACGUCCGGGAACACCUCGUUCGGGUACAUCCUCUGCAUCAUCUCCAUCAUUUGCUGGUUCAGCCUCCUCUGUGCCUCAUAGCCCGCCUGUUGAGCCGCCAUCUGGGUCUCUAACAAAGAUAUACGAUCAUCUUUGUCCUUCAACUGAGCCGUAAGUACUUCUGGAUCAACAAAGGGCGGUGGUGCAGAAGAAGGAGGAACCGACCGGGUGCGACGACCCAAACCGACCAAACAUCCCUUCUUCUUUGGAACCGACUGAAUAGAAAAUAGCCAAAUUUACAAAUUUAAACCAAAAAAUAAAUGAAUUGAACUUUAAAAAAAAAGAACUUACGGAUUCAACGAUUUCGUUGAUUCGAAACCGGGACAAGUUGGUCGAAGCCGUCGAAGCGUCAUCCUCGGUUUGAAGCUGAGACACUUCGUCUACCAUCUGAGUUUGGACCAGGUCGACCACGUCCCUCACAAGACCGUCAUCAAUCUGGCCGGUCUUCUUGUUGGUAUACGCCCUCCUCAUUAGGGCGAGAUCAUCAACCGGCUCGCCAUCAUUUUCUUCCGCCUUGAAAAAAAACAUAAAUUAAAGAAACAUUAGAAAUUAGAAGAAAUGUACAAUAAAUUAAAAUUCUGAAACUCAAAUAAUUGAAGAAAAAACGUUUGAACUUGCCAUGCGAUCUCCCAGAGUGGCAAUAGAUUGAGCACCCAAGUUAUGCUUGUAGAUGCCCUUCCCUUUACGGUCGCUCCUGCGGUUGGUGGAGUUGGUGGAAGAAGUUUCUUUCGUCUCUUCCUUAUCCCAAUGCGCACACAACUCCUUCCAGACCGUGUCGUUCAUCGACUUUGGGACCUUUUAAUAAAAAAAAAAAAAAUAGUUUAUUAAAUUUAAAAAUAGUUUAAUAAAUUAAAAAAUUGUUUAAUAAAUUAAAUCAAACCUUAUUGAUUUCCCACUUUUUCUUCCACUCGUGGAUCUGCUUCCCAUAGUUGUCCAUAACUUUAUGGAUGACGUGGUGAUAGAUAAAGAGCGUCUCAUCGGAAUUCCAGUUGAACUCUAGCUGAAAAAAAAAACACAAUUAGUAGAAAAUUUAUAUUAAAGAUUAAAAAUAUAAGUAAAAAAUUAGAAUAUCCUCGGAAUAUUCCGAGGAAAUACCGAGGAACUAGUGUUUGGGGUUUCAAAACAUCAAAUUUUUUUGGGGUUUUUCAUUUCUUAUACAAUUGUAAUGUAUACCAUUGAGGAUUCUUUGUAUAGAUUAGCAUAAACUAUGAAAUAACAAAUUUCAAAACUAAUUGAAAGUAUUCCCUAUACCGUUCAUUAAAACGUAUAAUUAAGUGUUUCUCUUAUGUUGUGGGAUUUCGUUCAUACAAUUGGAAAAGUGUUAAUUAAGGGGUAAGGAACAAAUUUUAGACUUCAUAAGUAACGUAAGACACUUAAUAAGGGUUAUAUAGGUGUUAUUCAAACCGCAAAACGUUUUUUUCGGUUUACAACCCCUAUUUCCUCGGAAUUUCCUCAGACUAUUCCGAGGAAACCCUUUUCUUCCUCGUAAUUCCGUCGGAAUAUUCCGAGGAAAUUCCGAGGAACUAGUGUUUGGGGUUUCAAUCUUGUACGUUUUUUUAUAAACAAAUCGAUCGAUGCGUUUUUUGUCCAAAACACAUCGAUCGAUCACCAGAUGGACGAAAGCCGUAAGAAUGUGAUCGAUCGAUUAGAUUAUACCAUCGAUCGAUCGAACAAAAUCUCAGACCUUCCUCGGAAUAUCCUCGGAAAAUCUUGUACGUUUUGUUAUAAACGGAUCGAUCGAUGCGUUUGUAUAGAAUCGAUCGAUCACCAGAUGGACGAAAGACGUAAGAAUGUGAUCGAUCGAACAAAAUCUGAAGCCUUCUUCGGAAUAUCCUCGGAAAAUAUUGUAUGUUUUGUUAUAAACGCAUCGAUCGAUGCGUUUAUGUGAAAAAACGCAUCGAUCGAUGCGUGUGCGAACAGACUUAUAAGGCAAAACCCGACCUUUUUGGAUCUAAACCUCAGAACUCUCACCCCCUCCGAUUUCCCCUAUAAUUCGACCCCCCCCCCCUUUUUCUCUCUCUAUAAUCAUCCGAUUUGAACAAUUUUGGGCUCUAUUCCCCUUGAUUUUUCGAGCUCUACCUGAUUCCUACACUCGUUUUCACCCUAAGACAGGUAUACUCCGCGAAUCUCCGAGUCAUCAUCACUAGAUGAAUCUGAAUCUGAAUCUGGAUCUUGGAUCUCCGAGUCAUCAUCACUAGCUCUAUAAUCAAUGGUAUUCUGUUUCUGAGUCAUCAUCACUAGAUGAAUCUGAAUCUGGAUCUUGGUGAAACUCUCCAAUCACUGGUUCAUCCUCUACGUGAACGACGGCUUCCUCUCCGUAGUCGGUUAAAUCGACUAAAAGGCCAACUCCAGCUAAAUCUUCUGCUGCACUUAAGUUGCCGGAUGUGCUUGGUUGUAGUGGGUCUUCCAGCUCAGAACUUCCAUGAACUCGGCCUCUCGGGUUGAGUCUUGUAACAGUAACCCAUGGAUCAUCUCUGUUCCUUACCCGGGGGUACUUGAUAUAACAAACCUGUAACAUUUAGAAAAAUUAUAAAUUAAUACACAUGAUGAUGAAUCAUUCUGAAUAAUUAACAUUUAAUUACCUGAUCGGCCUGAGAAGCAAGAAUGAAAGGAUCAUAAUAUUGCAGCUUUCGCCUCGAAUUUAUUGAUGUAACACCAAAUGCAUCUGUUCUCACACCUCGAUCUGGAGUGUUGUCGUGCCAAUCACAAUAGAAAACAGUACAGCGCAAUCCAACCAUGCCCAAAUACUUGAUUUCCAAAAUCUCAUGUAUGUGUCCGUAGUAUACAUCAUCUCCUGAUGCAGAACAAACGCCAGCAUCAUAAGUCGUACUCGAACGUCUCCUCUUCUAAGUUGUGAAUGCAUAUCCUCGAGUACAAAAUCUCGGAUAUGACUUCACAACAAAGUUUGGUCCAACGACCAUCUCGCGUAUCCAAUCGUCAAAUGUUUCACCUCUGGCCAAACCAGCAGACACCUAUUAAUAGCACAUAUAUAUGUUAUAUCAAUAAAUGUGAAUUAGUAUAAAUAUGUGAUAAAUGAUAUUUUAAUUUGUUUAAAGCACUCACAUAAAUAAACAUCCAUCUAGCAAAAUCUCUCUGCUUCAUUUCUUCUAAUUCGUCCUCUGUGGCGUAUCUAUAUUCGAACCGCUUUUCUGCCAUGAAAAUCCUGUACAUAUGAUGACAAUAAUGUAAUUAAUUAAGAUUUAAAUUUCAACUUGUUAAAAUAAAAAUUUGUAAGCUAAUUUAUUUACCUCUCAUAUUGAAGAACAUCUUCGCAGUUGGUGAGCAAAUAUGUUUGCAAAUGACUGCGCUCCUGCUCAGUAAGUCGACGGUCCUUUGGUUUUCCGCUAAGUCGCCCAACGUCUGUGAAAAUGUCUGGAACCGUAACAGGAUAUGUUGCCCGUUCGCCUCUAUCAUCAUGCCGAGCAGGUCUUCUGUUUUUGGUCUGAACUUCUGCUGGAAAGUAGUACUCGGCAAAGUUUGAAGUUUCUUCAUUGAUCAUCUGUGCGACUAUAGAACCUUCCACCCUACUUAAAUUUUUCACCAUCUUCUUCAAAUGGAACAUAUACCGCUCAUACAGAUACAUCCAUCUAUACUGCACAGGACCACCAAGUUCCAAUUCUCUUGCCAGGUGAAUAACAAGAUGCUCCAUAAUAUCAAAAAAUGAAGGAGGAAAUAUCUUCUCUAGGUUGCACUGAAUCACGGCUAUGUUAGUCUUCAAAUUUUCAAUACCUUCAAGAGUCACUGAUCUCGUGCAUAAAUCGCGGAAGAAACCACUUAUCCCUGCAAUUGCUUCAUGAACAUUUCGUGGUAAUAGUUCCUUGAAGGCAAACGGAAGGAGGCGCUGCAUCAUUACAUGGCAAUCGUGGCUUUUCAAGCCAGUAAACUUUCCUUCCUUUCUGUCGAUACAGUUACGCAAAUUAGAUGCGUAACCGUCUGGAAAUUCCACAUCGUUUGAAAUCCAAUCAAAGAACGCAUCUUUUCCCUCUGCAUCAAGUCGGUAUAUGGGAAAAGGAGCCCUACCAUUCUCAUCAACAUGAAGUUCUGAACGAGCUCAUAUAUCGACUAAAUCCUGUCUUGACUUCAAAUUAUCCUUUGUUUUACCUUGAACAUUAAGGAUCGUGUUCAUGAGAUUGUCAAAAAAGUUCUUCUCAAUAUGCAUGACAUCUAAAUUAUGCCUUAGCAGAUGAUCCUCCCAGUAUGGCAAAUCCCAGAAAAUAUUUUUUUUGUGCCAGUUAUGUAGUUCUCCAACAGCAUCUACCGGAAAACGCUCAUGUCCACCGACAUCUGGCUUCCUUUCUGCACCAAAAUCUCUUAAUUGUAUCUUCAAAUCUUUCCCACAAAUUUCCGGAGGUGGACUGUCAAACACCCUCUUGUUCUUCGUAAACAAAUUCCUACUCCUACGAUAUGGAUGAUCAGGUGGUAGGAAUCUCCUGUGACAGUCAAACCAACACGUUUUCCUUCCGUGUUUUAGUUGAAAAGCAUCAGUGUUAUCUUGACAAUAUGGACAUGAUAGCCUUCCAUGCGUUGUCCAUCCAGACAACAUACCAUAUGUUGGAAAAUCACUUAUUGUCCACAUUAGUACUGCCCGCAUUUGAAAGUUUUCUUUACACGAAACAUCGUAUGUUUCAGCACCUUGAGCCCAUAGUUGUUGCAACUCAUAUAUUAGUGGCUGAAGAAACACAUCAAGUGAUCUCUUAGGAUGCUCUGGUCCGGGAACGAGAAUCGAGAGAAACAAAAACUCUCGUCGCAAGCACAAGUUUGGGGGUAGGUUGUAUGGUGUAAGAAUGACGGGCCAUAGAGAAUACUGUCUUCCACUCUUGCCAAACGGACUGAAACCAUCAGUACAUAAUCCAAGGUAGACAUUUCUUCUCUCAUACGCAAAGUCGGGAUACUUUGAUUGGAAAUGCUUCCACGCUUUUGCAUCUGAAGGAUGUCUGAUCUCACCAUCUGUUGAGUGCUCCGCAUGCCAUCUCAUUGGUUGCGCUGUGCGUUCAGACAUAUACAACCUCUGCAACCUUUCCGUCAAAGGCAAAUACCACAUCCUUUUAUAUGGCACUGGAACUCUUCCACUCGUAUCUUUAUAACGAGGCUUCCCACAAAAUUUGCAUGUAACCCGCUGUUCAUUUGCCCUCCAAUAAAUCAUGCAGUUGUCGCUGCAUACAUCUAUUACUUGAUACGAUAAACCAAGACCAGCUACGAGUUUCUGAACCUCGUAGUAUGAACCAGGAGCUACUCCACAAAAUUUGCAUGUAACCCGCUGUUCAUCCGCCCUCCAAUAAAUCAUGCAGUUGUCGCUGCAUACAUCUAUUACCUGAUACGAUAAACCAAGACCAGCUACGAGUUUCUGAACCUCGUAGUAUGAACCAGGAGCUACAUUAUCCUCGGGUAGAAUACCUUUUACAAAAUCAGCAAUCGCAUCCACACAGUCUUCAGCCAAAUUAUAAUCUGUUUUAAUGCCCAUCAAUCUUGUAGCAGAUGAUAAAGCUGAAUGACCAUCUCUGCAACCUUCGUACAAUGGUUGCUUUCCAGCAUCCAACAUAUCAUAAAAUCUCCUAGCUUGUGCAUUGGGUAAAUCGUCCCCUCUAAAAUGAUCAUUUACCAUCUGCUCAGUACCUACACCAUAAUCUACAUCCGUUCUAAUUGGUUCUUCUAAUCUAACCGCUGGCUGAGGUUCGCUAGUACUACCAUGUUCAUAAUCAGUUUCCCCAUGAUGAUACCAAAUUUUGUAACUUCGUGUAAACCCACUCAAAUAUAGAUGAGUCCAAACAUCCCACUCUUUAAUAACCUUUCUAUUUUUACAAUUAGAGCAAGGACAUCUUAACUUACCUGUUUUUGCUUCCGGUUGUCGGUGAACUAACCCCAUGAAUUCGGUUAUACCUCGUUAGUAUUCUUCCGUAAGCAAUCUCGUGUUCGGAUCCAAAUGAGGUCGAUCGAUCCAAGAACGAAAAUAAUUUGAAGAAGACAUAUUUUUAUGAAUCAAAUUCGUGUGUAAAUAGAGUAAGAGGGAGGAUGAAGAUAUGGAGUGAAUGAAGAGGAAGAGGAGCUUGUAUUUAUAGGUUAAAUCCUGCCGACAAACCGAGGAAAUUCCGACGGAAUUCCGACGCCAACGGCUAGUCCGUCGGAAUUUCCUCGGAAUUAUGUAAAAUCCUCAAACGGCUCUCCAACGGCUCUAAUAUUUCCUCGGAAUUCAUCGGUUUUUUCCGAGGAAAAUAUAUUUCCUCGGAAUUUCCUCUGAAUAUUCCGACGGAUUGAUAUUUCCUCGGAAUCCCGUCGGUAUAUUCCGAGGAAAUUCCGAGGAAACCAAAUUUUGUGUUUCCUCGGAAAUACCUCGGAAAUUCCUCGGGAUAUUCCGAGGAUUUCAUUUUCCGUCGGAAUGUCCGUCAGAAUAUCGCUGUUUUCUUGUAGUGAGUGCAAAGAAGACACACAAAGAAGCUAAGAGCAUGUUUAUCGCAGGUUUCUUAGGUUGAGUCUCUUAGCGUAAUAUAAGAUACGGUAUCUUACCUUUUAACUAAAAAAGCUAAGAAACGUCUCUUAUAUCUUAUAUUUAAGAGACGUCUCUUAUAUCUUAUAUUUAAGAGACGUCUCUUACUUUUUUUAGUUGAAAGUUAAGAGAUUGUAUCUUAUAUUACGCUAAGAGAUCCAACCUAAGAGACCUACAAUAAACAUGCUGAGAGACCAAAAGAGGAAAGAAAAGUCAAAAUUGAUCGGAGAAAAAUAUAGCAAGCAAAAAAAAGAAAUAGAGAACUUAAAAUGUAAAGGAGAAGAAAUGUCUGAAUAUUACUGUCUCAUUUCUUGACUCAAGAUUAUACAGAAGCUUGCUAUUUAUAUAAAGAACACAAACCCUACGAGCCUCUACUGAAUGACUCAGUUUGAAUCACAGCUCCACAACUCGAAUCUAUUCUGCAGGUCUGGCUUGUGACGUUCUGGGUUAAACUUUUCAUUAAUGACUUUAUUCUUGUUUUCAAUUUUCUGUCUUGUCGCCGUUGCAGAAGUGAUUACUGUAAUGGGCUCUUCUUCUAUUUGUUCACUUGUGUCGAUGAGCUUUUCUUCCUCUAUUCUUUGACUCAAUCCCAUCGUCCUCUUUUGUGCUGACCUAACAUGCUUCUCUCUUCGCACUCUGUUCAUUGUUGUUGCCUUUGGCUUUACACCAAAGAGAAUACAGAAGCUUCUUUCCUAUGGUGACGUCGGAGGCGUACGCCGAGGAAAAAUUGAACCGUAAAAUAAAAAAGAAGAAGAAGAAAAAAACUCUUAGGAGAAAAAAUAUUAGUGUAGUGGCGACUGAGAUUUAGAUGAAGAAAUACAAUUCUUUGAAGUAUUCAUGUACGAAAAAGACUUAUAACUUUAAAAUUUACAUCUCCUCUUGUUCCCAAUCAAAAUGCCACCUACAUUAAUAAUAAAAUAGAUUAAUUUUAUUUUAAAAAAUCUGAAAUAAUUUAAAAAAAAUAAUAACACCAAUAUUAAUGAUACCAACGCCACUAACUAAACUCUAAACUUUAAAUCUAUACCCUAAACCCAAACCGUAAACCCUAAACCCAAACCCUAUAUCCUAAACCCAAAUCCUAAACCUUAAACCCAAACCGUAAACCCUAAACCCAAAUCAUAUAUCAUAAACCCAAAUCAUAGACUCUGAACUCAUACCAUAUAUCUAAACCUAAUCCCUACACCCUAAACUCAAAUCGUAAACCAUGAACCCAAAUCCUAUAUCCUAAAAGUUUGGGUCAAUGUUAGUGUUGUUUCUUUAUGGUUUAAGAUUUGGGUUUAGAGUCUAGGUUUGGGUUUAGGAUCUAGGGUUUGAGUUUAAGGUGUAGGGUUUGGGUUUGGAGUUUACGGUUUGGGUUUAGGGUUUAGGAUUUGGGUUUAAGAUAUAGGGUUUGAGUUUAGAGUUUAGAGUUUGGGUUUAGAAUUUAGGGUUUAGAUUUAAGGUUUAGGGUUUAGAAUUUAAGAUUUAGGGUUUAGUUAGUGGCGUUAGUGUCAUAAAAAUGAGCGUCAUUAUUUUUUUGAAUUAUUUUAGAUUUUUUUUUAAAAAAAUAAUGUAUUUUACUAUUAAUCUAUGUGGCAUUUUGAUCGGUAAUAAGAGAGAAUGUGAAUUUAAAGGUUCACCCCUAUUAUUAACACCUCUAUUAUUAACACCACAGUGCCAUGUAGGAUUAGGAGAAAAAUGAAUAUUAAAACUUAAAAAAAAGGAAAAUAGCUUAAAAAAAUAAAAGAACGUAGCUGUUAACGGUGUCGAUGGCUUCCUUCAUCGCCCACAGAGAAGAUGGAAACUGUGUUUGUCAAGUUGAGUCUCCAAUUCUAUGCUUUCAAAUCAAAUUUUGAUUUCUUCUCCAAUCCAAAUCAAGCCAUGUACGUCCGGUUCUACAAACAUAUCAUGACUUACGUACUUCAAAUCAAGCCAUGUACGUCUGGAUUCGGAUUAGUGUCAAAGGGGUUUGUCAAAGAGAGAACUCCAACCACAUAAGCUGUCUGCCACACUACUCUGAAGAUGAUUUAGAUGAAGAAAUACAAUUCUUUGAAGUAUUCAUGUACGAAAAAGACUUAUAACUUUAAAAUUUACAUCUCCUCUUGUUCCCAAUCAAAAUGCCACCUACAUUAAUAAUAAAAUAGAUUAAUUUUAUUUUAAAAAAUCUGAAAUAAUUUAAAAAAAAUAAUAACACCAAUAUUAAUGAUACCAACGCCACUAACUAAACUCUAAACUUUAAAUCUAUACCCUAAACCCAAACCGUAAACCCUAAACCCAAACCCUAUAUCCUAAACCCAAAUCCUAAACCUUAAACCCAAACCGUAAACCCUAAACCCAAAUCAUAUAUCAUAAACCCAAAUCAUAGACUCUGAACUCAUACCAUAUAUCUAAACCUAAUCCCUACACCCUAAACUCAAAUCGUAAACCAUGAACCCAAAUCCUAUAUCCUAAAAGUUUGGGUCAAUGUUAGUGUUGUUUCUUUAUGGUUUAAGAUUUGGGUUUAGAGUCUAGGUUUGGGUUUAGGAUCUAGGGUUUGAGUUUAAGGUGUAGGGUUUGGGUUUGGAGUUUACGGUUUGGGUUUAGGGUUUAGGAUUUGGGUUUAAGAUAUAGGGUUUGAGUUUAGAGUUUAGAGUUUGGGUUUAGAAUUUAGGGUUUAGAUUUAAGGUUUAGGGUUUAGAAUUUAAGAUUUAGGGUUUAGUUAGUGGCGUUAGUGUCAUAAAAAUGAGCGUCAUUAUUUUUUUGAAUUAUUUUAGAUUUUUUUUUAAAAAAAUAAUGUAUUUUACUAUUAAUCUAUGUGGCAUUUUGAUCGGUAAUAAGAGAGAAUGUGAAUUUAAAGGUUCACCCCUAUUAUUAACACCUCUAUUAUUAACACCACAGUGCCAUGUAGGAUUAGGAGAAAAAUGAAUAUUAAAACUUAAAAAAAAGGAAAAUAGCUUAAAAAAAUAAAAGAACGUAGCUGUUAACGGUGUCGAUGGCUUCCUUCAUCGCCCACAGAGAAGAUGGAAACUGUGUUUGUCAAGUUGAGUCUCCAAUUCUAUGCUUUCAAAUCAAAUUUUGAUUUCUUCUCCAAUCCAAAUCAAGCCAUGUACGUCCGGUUCUACAAACAUAUCAUGACUUACGUACUUCAAAUCAAGCCAUGUACGUCUGGAUUCGGAUUAGUGUCAAAGGGGUUUGUCAAAGAGAGAACUCCAACCACAUAAGCUGUCUGCCACACUACUCUGAAGAUGUUGAUGUUGAAUUUUCCAAGGAAUGGUAUGUUUACUGAAUAUUCAGAUGUGAUGAACUUGUUGUCAGGCCAGUUUCUACUCCUACAAAGCUUGCUCUUUUCAUAGUUUUGUUCUCUGCUAGGCUAGAUUUCAAUGUAUCCUGCAAAAAGUAUCAAAUUUUCACCAGUUAUUGACAAUGACAAUCAAUUCUCAUGUGUUUUAACUUAAAUCCAACCUACGUGUACGUACCAAUUGUAUCCACAGGCUGAGAAAGGAAGUGACUCGUAGUUGUCACCGUUGUCUUUGACCAGUUUGGACAUAGUGUCAAAUGACUCUAACUUCACACAGUACGUAACUGGAGGACAAGUUCUUGUCUCUUCCCUUAUUGUUGCCGAGAGCUUCUUGUGAUUCCUAGCAGGAACAGAGACUGAGCUCCUAGCUAAUGUUACAAGGAAGUAUCCCCACGUCCAACAAUCCUUCUUCUACUACUGCUUCUGUUUCCAUUAGGUUUUGAAAGUUGUAGUAAGGUUUUGCAAAUCUUACUACUUCCACAAUGAAAACAAGAGAGUAGAUCAAUGUACUGAUAUAACAUGAUUUUAAUGGUAUUUAGGAUAUCAUUUAGCUCAUUCUAAUCAUUCUAGGUUGCAUUUAGGUCUUUAUAUUGCAUUUUCAUACAUAAUUGCAUUUGAUAGGGUUUGGAUUGCACAAAUGAGGGGUUUUGGCAAGAACAAGGGUCAAUUUACACGUUUUAUGACUUUGGGGCCAGAAUGAAAGAUAACAACAGUCCAGGGACCCAAUGUGCAAAUAGCCUAAAAGUCACCAUCGUUGAUCUUCGAUGGAGCUCCUCUUCGAUCCGCGACAGCGAUGCUUGAAGCGACGACGAGCCUCACCGGAGCAGAGCACACCAGAGGAUCUGAGCUGGCCUGAACAUGAUGAUCCGCGGUGGAGUUCGUGGUGGCAAGCGGAGGUUUCAAGCGACGACGACCAGUGGAUCUUUGAGACACGACGGAGGAGCUGAGCACGAAAACAACCAUGGCUUGGAUCCGAGGCACGGAUAAGACAGAAGAGGAAAGUGACGACGGAGGAGUCAGGCUGAGCCGCGGCUGUCAAGAACGGAGCACCAGAGCCUCGACGAGCUUGGACACCAUUUUAGACCCCAAGGGAGUUGAUUCACAGCGGUUUGUUGUUGCGGGGAAGAGACGUCGCUGGAAACAGAUCGGUUCAGUGUUGCGGGUUGGUAAGGUCGCUUGUAUUGUCACGAGCUCGGGAACGGCUCGAUAACUUGGACAAACUCGUAAGCUUCAGAGCGGCUUGGCUAAAACGGGUUGAUGAAGCCGCUGUGGUCGUCCAUUUUGCGAAAUUAAAUUAUUGACCGGUUUAAUUCGGUUUGACUCUGGUUUGUGGGGUCAAACCAGCUCGAGUUUUACCAUCGUAUAAAUAGAUUUAGACCUACAAACCUUAGAGAUAUGUUGUUUUUUCUCAAAAUACAUUGAGACAUUUGAGAAAGUUUGAAUCUUUAUUAAUCUAAUCUUUCUUUUUUGAGUAAUUUGAAUCUAUCUCAUCUUCUUAACAUGAUUUUUCUUGAAUCUAUUAUGGGUUUGAGGUUAAUCAUGAAGAUUAGUAAUUAGACUCUUUUGAAUUCAUGGGAUAGGAUGAUUAGGAUGAUUAAGUGAUGAUCUAGAAUGUUUAGAGUAGAUUAAUAUGUUUCCUUGCUUGAUUGAGUGAUCUUAAUGUUAAUUUAGAGUUGGCCCUUUUAGAUUGGAAAUCUAGACAUUUCAUUUCCCGGAAGGUGUGGGAACCGAAAUUCGCACUGUCGAUUUACCUUUAAAUUAGGAAACUAGGAAAACCCUAAUUUCCCAGAGGUCCCGGAUCUCUGCGAGAGCCAACGGCAAGUGACCAAAUAUAUGCGGAAAUCAUGAAAAGAUAACAAACGAGUUUAGAGAAAACAGUAGAUCUUAUUUCGAGUCCGCGUGAGAGCGUUGCGAUCAUUACAAGAGAUCAUAAAAGCUUUGGCCGCAAAGGCUGUCAGUGAGUUACCUAAUCCUAGCGGCCUAAAAGCUCAAACCUAGUUGACUCGCAGUUCGAUAACAAAAGACAAAGAAAAUACAGAAAAAGUUUUUGAUUGAUUUCGGACUGAACCUUAUGAAAGGCUGCCUACGUACCCCUUUCGAGGAUCAAGCCGAACGUAGUUCAAGAGAGAACCAAGAGAUCGAACUGCAUGUGCACGUUCGUCUGGUAAUCGGGUGCCAGUCAUGGAAACAGAGCAUGUCGAGUAUAAUGCCUCAGAGUUUCUAAGUGCCGAGAGUUCUCUGUCUCAAAAGUUCUCCCCCGUGCCUCUCGCCUAGGACUCCUUAUAUACUCGCUCCUAGGUCGGUUUACGCUUUUUCCUCUUCUGCCCUUAAGCUGUCAUAACUUAAAAAUGGAGAUAUUCCGUUUUUCCCGAUCUUUCUAAUUAUCUUCGAAUACUUCAUAUUUAUCCGCGGAAACUUGACAUUUAUCUUUCCUUGCGAACCAAGCAUAAACCGUCCUACAGUUUAUGGGCUUUUGGUUAAGAAAUCGUAAGAGGGUUUCGAGUCACGUCUUAGGUCUCUUUGGGCCGUUGUUUGACUCAAAACGUUUAUUACGGCUUCUUUCGAUAAAAACAAACUUUCCGCGGUUUCUACGUAGCGACCGAGCACGCUACGUAGCGACCGAGCACGCUACGUAGCGACCGAGCACGCUACGUAGCGACCGAGCACGCUACGUAGCGACCGAGCACGCUACGUAGCGACCGAGCACGCUACGUAGCGACCGAGCACGCUACGUAGCGACCGAGCACGCUACGUAGCGACCGAGCACGCUACGUAGCGACCGAGCACGCUACGUAGCGACCGAGCACGCUACGUAGCGACCGAGCACGCUACGUAGCGACCGAGCACUCUACGUAGCGACCGAGCACGCUACGUAGCGACCAAUCUUUGGUGAGAGCUCGGUCGCUACGUAGCGACCAGCUUUUGCACUGGUUGCUACGCGGCAACCUUGUUCGCGUCUUUCUCCGAUUUUUCGUGAAUGUGUUUUCUCAGCAAGAUUCUUCGUAAAAAUAGAUCUUUUUCUAAGAUUUAUUUUUCAUGAAAACAUUCAUGCCGAUUUUUACGGACUUUCAGACAUUGAUUCCGUCGUGACCGAUUUUGACCCCAACANNNNNNNNNNNNNNNNNNNNNNNNNNNNNNNNNNNNNNNNNNNNNNNNNNNNNNNNNNNNNNNNNNNNNNNNNNNNNNNNNNNNNNNNNNNNNNNNNNNNNNNNNNNNNNNNNNNNNNNNNNNNNNNNNNNNNNNNNNNNNNNNNNNNNNNNNNNNNNNNNNNNNNNNNNNNNNNNNNNNNNNNNNNNNNNNNNNNNNNNNNNNNNNNNNNNNNNNNNNNNNNNNNNNNNNNNNNNNNNNNNNNNNNNNNNNNNNNNNNNNNCUAUUAUCCUUGUGUCGGAUGUACGAGAGUCAUCUCUACGAGAUGGCUAAGUCUGUUUAGGACGUUAAGAGUUUGUUGUGAUCAGCAACAAACUUAAUGGUUAAAAUUACCGUUUCGAGUCUUCGCGAAGGAUAUGUUUUGAGAAGAUGUUAGUGCGUAUGACUGUCUGGUCUUCCAAGAAAGUGUUUUUAUCGAGGAAGGAAAUUUCGUCGAAGAACGAAUCUUCAGGCGUCUGCGACGUCUCGCGAUGCUGAAGAUUUGUUAUUCUUUCGUAUGCCGUGUUUCGUGCUUGAAGAUGUUUCGCGGGCUUGAAGAUGUUUCGCGAUGUUGCAAGGGAUUAGUCUUAGCCCUGCGUUUGGGAAACAUUUUGGUUUGACUACGGAUGAUCCUAGCCAGAACUGUUGUUCCCUUCCUUUGUUUUCCGAGGGAGAUAUAGCCUAAGAAGCUCGAUACCGAGCCCGUGCGGAGUCAGUUGCGGGGUGAUUUCUUGCUCGGACGUGACCAAGCGGAAUGAGAGCAGAUGCCAUCAAGUCGCGGGGCUAAAGAAUGAGAUCUUUCAGACCGUGGUGCGAGGAAGUAAAGUUUAUAUUGGUCGUCCAAUGUCGGAUCAUACAGCUUGGUUUUUUUGCUAUAAGGAAAGUACUUUUUCGUAAAACAUAAGUGGAACCUUUCCGUUAACUAUUUGGUUGUUAGGACUGAGUUUUGUUAUGACGAAUUUACCGUAUGAUUCCCGUUUUUGGGUGGUACGAUAAUUGUUUGUGUAAUCGUUACUUGGCGUUUCAAGACAAAUUCCGAAUUACCGUUUAGCCGUCAAGUUAUUGGAGUGGUGGUUGCUCAAUCGUUUUGGCUUUGAAUGAAGGCUGUGCUCAGCUUUAUAGCCAAGGACGUUGUUGCCAACCUUUCAGACCGUGGUGCGAGGAAGUAAAGUUUAUAUUGGUCGUCCAAUGUCGGAUCAUACAGCUUGGUUUUUUUGCUAUAAGGAAAGUACUUUUUCGUAAAACAUGUUACGUUUACUUUCGAAAGUUACUUCGUAUGACAUGAUCUGAUUAUACGAAGGUUUUUUGUGUAAGUAACAGGCGACCGGUUUUUACGAAUUUAUUAAAUUGACGCGACAUAUGGAGAUGUCAAAAUAACGAUGUUUCCGCAGAUUUUUGAGAAACGUUUUUGCUUUUGUUUUUAUUCUUCGGUAAAAGUUUUUCUUGUGCUCAGCUUUAUAGCCAAGGACGUUGUUGCCAAAGGAUUAGACCAUGACACUUUCGUGCAGUCAAUAAGGUCAAGUCGGUUAGAAUCGUCCUUAAAGGGGAUGCUGUAACCUAGUUCGGCUUCGAAGGAAAGGCGUAAUUGGGCGAGUGACGAAUGGUGUUUAUCGAGAUUGUUAAGCCGAGUAUGCCCAUGGUGGUAGAAAACGUUUUUCCACUUUAGGGUUAAUUUAUACGAUGAAAGUUCCGUAUAAUGUUUCCUUUAUUUGUAUGGAAGUUGUUUCCUUUGUUUUCCGAGGGAGAUAUAGCCUAAGAAGCUCGAUACCCGUUUUCUUGUCGAAAGCGUUUUCUUGAUCUUGAUGAGACAUCGCAUUGUUUGAAUAUGUUUUUGAAGUAUGGGAGUAUACGAGUAUAGUAUACACACCUACUCCGUCCCUUUUUUCUCGAGGAAUAGAAUGAUCGACAGUCCGAGUCGGUUUGAAGACGACGCUUGGACUGUGAUUUAGUUGUUUCCACGUUGAAGACUUGGGAUAUGUCGGUUCCGAGAGAAUUACCAGAAACGAAUCGGUUUUAAAACUACGUUCAUGUCUCUAGUUUUUUCUCUCCUUAGGAAGCGAGCUUGAUAUGCGUGGCGAUCGUUUCUCGAUUUUUGGAGAGUUUAGAUCGGUUUGCAAGAUCUGGACGAACAGUUAUGGGACAAUAUAUCGAGACAGGAAAGAUCACCUAAGACUUAGUUCGCUGGACUAUCCCCCUAGGUUUUACGUUCCCUAAAGUUCUAUGACAGUGUCAAAGGCGUUUUUAUUUCUUAGAAAUUUCCUACGAAAAAUCCAAGUCUGAUUUCAAAAAUUUCAAGUCGCAAAUACCUUAGUUCUCUCGAAGAUGCAGUUUUGUCUCUUCUCAAUUUUGCUUGCUCGUUUCCCCUUCCUCUUCUUGUGUAUGUUCGCCUUUUUCGAUAUUGGUGUUUAUCCUUUGAGACUUGACAUUUAUCUUCCGAACUUGACUGAUACGAAGUCAAUAAAAAGGUUCAACGUAAUCGUAUAGUUGAGGCGGCUAAGGUGUUAAGUUAACCGUUGCCGUAUUAUACGAUUAAUCUGAAUCCACGCGAGAAAACUAGUCUUUGCGGGUUUUUUUUUUAUCGUAAAGUUUCAAUGGUAACUCCAAUCGAGACGAAACAAGAGACGUUUCGAUCGAGAUUUGAAGGAGAACACAAAGAUGGAGGUAAGGGCGAGUCGGAGCAAGCGAAGGAGUUUAGACGAGUCUUACUUGUUUUCGCCGUAAAAUCUCGACGGAAACUCCGAUUGAGACGAAACGAAAAGCGUUUCGAUCGGGAUUCAAAAGAGAACACAAAGGAGGAGCUUUUUUAGGCCUGACAGGUCGCUAUGUAGCGAGCUAGAGGCCUGACAGGUUGCUACGUAGCGAGUGGAAGCAAGUAAAGAAGAGUCCUACUUGUUUUCGUCGUAAAAUCUCAACGGAAACUCUGAUUGAGACGAAACGAAAAGCGUUUCGAUGAGGAUUCAAAAGAGAACCUAUGUAGCGACCGAGCUGAACGCGUGCUCGGUCGCUACGUAGUGACCGAGCUUGGCUUGAGCUCGGUCGCUACGUAGCAACCGAGCCGUGUGCUUGCUCGGUCGCUACGUAGCGACCGAGCUGUGUAAUCGAUUUGUUGCACUUCCUUUUUCCGCGAUUAACCUAGGGGUUUUCUGCGGUUUUUGGAAGAACAAGCUUUACCCUUCCGAAAGGUUUUCAGAAAACGUGUUUUGGUAAAAUCCUUACGCAUUGAGAUUUCUUUUGUUCGGUAAUGAGCCAAAAUUACGGGGUUUGAUAAGAUUUAUCAUUUCUCUUUAUAUUUAAAAAGAGAAAUCGCGAGAUCGUUUCAUUGCACGUCCUGUGGUGAAAAGUCGUAGCAAGGUUUUCGAUUUUCUCAAGAACUGUGGCGUUUGCAUAGGCGUUGGCCAUAGGCGGAGUGGCGGCUGGAGUUUUCUUACCAGCGUUGUUGCGAACUGCGAUUUUCUCUUUCGUAUUUCCAGACAUUGUUUUGAUCAAGCGUUUUGCGGCUAUGAGUUAGAGUAAUCCGUACCGAGCACGCUACGUAGCGACCGAGCACGCUACGUAGCGACCGAGCACGCUACGUAGCGACCGAGCACGCUACGUAGCGACCGAGCACGCUACGUAGCGACCGAGCACGCUACGUAGCGACCGAGCACGCUACGUAGCGACCGAGCACGCUACGUAGCGACCGAGCACGCUACGUAGCGACCGAGCACGCUACGUAGCGACCGAGCACGCUACGUAGCGACCGAGCACGCUACGUAGCGACCGAGCACGCUACGUAGCGACCGAGCACGCUACGUAGCGACCGAGCACGCUACGUAGCGACCGAGCACGCUACGUAGCGACCGAGCACGCUACGUAGCGACCGAGCACGCUACGUAGCGACCGAGCACGCUACGUAGCGACCGAGCACGCUACGUAGCGACCGAGCACGCUACGUAGCGACCGAGCACGCUACGUAGCGACCGAGCACGCUACGUAGCGACCGAGCACGCUACGUAGCGACCGAGCACGCUACGUAGCGACCGAGCACGCUACGUAGCGACCGAGCACGCUACGUAGCGACCGAGCACGCUACGUAGCGACCGAGCACGCUACGUAGCGACCGAGCACGCUACGUAGCGACCGAGCACGCUACGUAGCGACCGAGCACGCUACGUAGCGACCGAGCACGCUACGUAGCGACCGAGCACGCUACGUAGCGACCGAGCACGCUACGUAGCGACCGAGCACGCUACGUAGCGACCGAGCACGCUACGUAGCGACCGAGCACGCUACGUAGCGACCGAGCACGCUACGUAGCGACCGAGCACGCUACGUAGCGACCGAGCACGCUACGUAGCGACCGAGCACGCUACGUAGCGACCGAGCACGCUACGUAGCGACCGAGCACGCUACGUAGCGACCGAGCACGCUACGUAGCGACCGAGCACGCUACGUAGCGACCGAGCACGCUACGUAGCGACCGAGCACGCUACGUAGCGACCGAGCACGCUACGUAGCGACCGAGCACGCUACGUAGCGACCGAGCACGCUACGUAGCGACCGAGCACGCUACGUAGCGACCGAGCACGCUACGUAGCGACCGAGCACGCUACGUAGCGACCGAGCACGCUACGUAGCGACCGAGCACGCUACGUAGCGACCGAGCACGCUACGUAGCGACCGAGCACGCUACGUAGCGACCGAGCACGCUACGUAGCGACCGAGCACGCUACGUAACGACCAAGCACGCUACGUAGCGACCGAGCACGCUAGCCAGAAUAACUCUCAAGGUUUCUCCUCCAAAGGAAAUCAGUCUACACAAGGCCAAGCCGGAUCUUCUACUUCUUCUCCACAAGAAAGUAGCACUGAUGCAAUGUUGAAACAUAUCUUGGAGUCCCAAACUAGAAAUGAAAAGCACAUUGGAUAUGAGUUGAAGAACCUUCACACCAAAGUUGAUGGAAGCUAUAAUGAUCUCAACAACAAGGUCUCAAACCUUGCUUCUAACUUUAAGGCUUUGGAGAACCAAUUUGCCUCUACGACUUCAUCCUCCAAGCGCCCAAUGAGAUCUCUACAAGGGAAAUCAGAGCAACACCCUAAAGAGUAUUGCAAUGCUGUCCUCUCUACUUCUUCUGAGAUUGAGUUGAGUGAUACUAGGAAAGAAGUAGAUGAGCUUGAAAGACUCUUGUAUGGAACAGAAGUUGUUGCCAAGGCUGAAGCACAAAUUGUGGAGAAGGCUGGACAGAUAGUUGAUGCAAAGAUUGUGACGAGAGCUGAGCACAAGGCUGAGAAACCAGUUAUUGAGAUUGUUGUCAAGAAGUUGAAGGAGUUUAAGCUGGAAGAAAUCCAUGAGGUUGAACAAUCACCCUAUUAUAAGCUCCCAUUCCACAAAGGCUUCUCACAAAGGCUCAAAAGAAGGUGAUCUCUGAUAUUUGGAGUUUUCAAAGCUCCUAAGACAAAUGAUGUAGUAUAAAAGAUUGUCGAACCAAUUCUAAGGGAUUUCAAAGCACUGAGAAUGCAAGUACUCACUUAAUCUAAGUGCAUUUGGUGAUUUAAAAGAUUUCUAAACUAAUGAUUAAUGCUAAUGCAGUUGCAGAAUAAUAAAAGCGAUAAAUGAAGUAACUUUCUUGACUAAGGGAAAAGAGAACUCAUGGGCAUAGGGAUUAGACCUUGGGUGAUCAAGUUUCGAACUAAGGAUGGCAAACGAUCAAUCAAACUAUCAACCUUAAGCUUAGACACAGUUCUAAACAAGCUCUAUGUCUAGAUGAAUGUUCAUUUACUAACACAUUUCAAACAUCAAAUGUCUUUGGUUGAAUAAUAUGAAAGCAAUUAUUACUAACAAGUCUAAUGGCUAUCUUAGCACCUCUAACAACAAAUGUCUUUGGCAAAGUAUGUUAAAAGCUCAGAAGAGUUGUCUCAGGCAUUUCAUCAAACACCUUUUGGGUGGAAAAUGCCUAAAGAUCAACUUUUGAGAGGCCAACUCAGAAGAUGCAUUAUGAAUAAUAUACUAGCAAGGACUAAGAAUGAUCUACACUAAAACAUCCUAGCUCUAACCUAAUCACCCUUAAUCUCCCUAACCCAUGAAUUCAAAAGGUGAUUACUCACUAAUCUCCAUGAUUUCUCUUAAACCCAUAUUGGAUUUCAGAUUUAUCAUGUAGAGAAAUACAGAGAAUCGAUAUGAAAACAACAGGAUUGCAAUAACAAAAAUGAUCAAUUGAAUCAAAGAGAUGAACUUUCCAAGAGGUUUUUGGUGGUUUUCUUAGGAUAAAAGAUAAUCAGCCUCCAAUGGCUUACAAAAGGUACUUAAACAUAGGUUUAGAAAGUGUAAAACGUGCAUAAUAAAUGACCAAAAAGCCCUUGAUUAAUCAUCAGUUUGACCAAAUAAUUGAAGCGCAGCGACCUCGGCACGUCGCUCCGGGAAGUCGCUCUAGGUGUUGGGAGCGACCUCAGGUAGUCGUUGUGGGACGUUUCUCCCGGCUUGUUCUUCGUGUCUCAAAUCGACACAAACCCGAGCGACCUCGGGGUGUCGUUGUGCUGACCUCGCUCUGGAGCUGGAGCGACUUUGUGUCGUCGCUCUAGGAGGUCGCUCCGGGUCUAUUUUUGCACUCCAAAACGAUGAAAUGGCGAGCGACCUCGUGAGGUCGCUCUGGUAAGGUCGCUCUGAGAGGUAGGGCACAGCGAGUUCAUGGCGUCGCUCCGGUAGGGUCGCUCCCAUGCACUGCUCGUCCAAUGAUCACCUUUAUCACCUCUUUUGAGCUCCAAAUGCACCNNNNNNNNNNNNNNNNNNNNNNNNNNNNNNNNNNNNNNNNNNNNNNNNNNNNNNNNNNNNNNNNNNNNNNNNNNNNNNNNNNNNNNNNNNNNNNNNNNNNNNNNNNNNNNNNNNNNNNNNNNNNNNNNNNNNNNNNNNNNNNNNNNNNNNNNNNNNNNNNNNNNNNNNNNNNNNNNNNNNNNNNNNNNNNNNNNNNNNNNNNNNNNNNNNNNNNNNNNNNNNNNNNNNNNNNNNNNNNNNNNNNNNNNNNNNNNNNNNNNNNNNNNNNNNNNNNNNNNNNNNNNNNNNNNNNNNNNNNNNNNNNNNNNNNNNNNNNNNNNNNNNNNNNNNNNNNNNNNNNNNNNNNNNNNNNNNNNNNNNNNNNNNNNNNNNNNNNNNNNNNNNNNNNNNNNNNNNNNNNNNNNNNNNNNNNNNNNNNNNNNNNNNNNNNNNNNNNNNNNNNNNNNNNNNNNNNNNNNNNNNNNNNNNNNNNNNNNNNNNNNNNNNNNNNNNNNNNNNNNNNNNNNNNNNNNNNNNNNNNNNNNNNNNNNNNNNNNNNNNNNNNNNNNNNNNNNNNNNNNNNNNNNNNNNNNNNNNNNNNNNNNNNNNNNNNNNNNNNNNNNNNNNNNNNNNNNNNNNNNNNNNNNNNNNNNNNNNNNNNNNNNNNNNNNNNNNNNNNNNNNNNNNNNNNNNNNNNNNNNNNNNNNNNNNNNNNNNNNNNNNNNNNNNNNNNNNNNNNNNNNNNNNNNNNNNNNNNNNNNNNNNNNNNNNNNNNNNNNNNNNNNNNNNNNNNNNNNNNNNNNNNNNNNNNNNNNNNNNNNNNNNNNNNNNNNNNNNNNNNNNNNNNNNNNNNNNNNNNNNNNNNNNNNNNNNNNNNNNNNNNNNNNNNNNNNNNNNNNNNNNNNNNNNNNNNNNNNNNNNNNNNNNNNNNNNNNNNNNNNNNNNNNNNNNNNNNNNNNNNNNNNNNNNNNNNNNNNNNNNNNNNNNNNNNNNNNNNNNNNNNNNNNNNNNNNNNNNNNNNNNNNNNNNNNNNNNNNNNNNNNNNNCAAGGCUCGAAACAUACAAGGCUUUUUGAGAGAUGCAAUAGCUAUUCGAGCGCGAGGUAGUGUUCUUUACAAGGCAUUUUAAAUCAUUGCUCCCAAUGCAAGUGAAUGCAACCUAUAUGCUCUAGACUCUCCUAAAAAUGCAAGUGAUGUAAUCUAUAUGAUUUUUUUUAUGCAAAAAGGUAUGUAUGCAAGACUCAAUGCAAAAUCAUCAAAGCAAACAUGAUCAAAUACUUGGUACCUCCCCCCAAACUUAAGUUACACAGUUUCUGUGUUGUCAAGUAGAGAGAGAUACCCAAAAGAAAGCUAAUAUGCAAAAAAUGAAAUGGUAUAUACAAGGGAAAGUAAUGAAGUACCUUCUACGGAUAGUGAGUAGGGGUAGAUGCCCCAGCAUCGUCGUCGUCAGGUGGGAAUGUGGUGUAGUAACCACCUGGUGUUGAGCUGUAGCCUCCAAACCAUGGCUGGCUCUGAACCUUGUCAAUCUCGACCUCAUUAUCAGAAGAGGCUAGGGAUGGGGACUCGACCUCGUGAGGUCGCUCUGGUAAGGUCGCUCUGAGAGGUAAGGCACAGCGAGUUCAUGGCGUUGCUCUGGUAGGGUCGCCCCCAUGCACUGCUUGUCCAAUGAUCACCUUUAUCACCUCUUUUGAGCUCCAAAUGCACCCAAAUGUCUCCAAAAACUCCAUGUGGUACUCCAAUACCUAAUAAAGACUCAUGUAUGCAAAAUGUAACCUAAACAUGGCUAAAUCCUAGUCUAUAUGAUCAAAAUGCACAUGGGUGAAUGGAUAACACAAUGGAAAUAUGCAAGAUAUCAACUCCCCCAAACUUGUUCUUUUAGUUGUCCACAAAUGAACUUUCUAGAACUUAUAGGGAGAGAGGUUUGAAGGUGAGAGCUCAUAGCCAAAAGAAACACAUCUAGCACUCAAUUCAACAUCUAAAUCCAACAUGAACACACUCUAUUAUUAUACUCUAGCUUCUCUAGACCUAUCUCAACUCCUUUUGCCCUUACAAUCAUCAUCAAGCAUCCACACAUUCAAAUCAACCAACUCUCACAUUCAUUAAGCAAUAAACAUCAGGUGAAUUAUUGCAAAUGGUCAAUUGGUUCAAAUCAUUUGGUUGGGUAAGGGAAGACUUUUUAUUCAAGUGAGUCAAGAGGUUCAAUAUACAUGAUCUUUAAGGUGGUUUAUUCUCAAGAUAAGUAGCCUUGACAUGCACAUAAUAUAUCUAAGAAAGGGAUCAAUUCAUGCAUACAAUGCUCAAUCUCCAUUGUUCUACCCUUUUCCCAAACAUACAAGUUACACAAUCAUUUCCCAAUGUCAAACCCAACUCACAUCUCUCACCAAAAGAUCCUAAGAACAUUUUUCACAUAAAACUCUUUCUCUUUGAAAUCUACAAGGGAUUUUUUUUUCUUUCACAAUUUAAAAACAUUUCUUAACUCCUAACAACUUUGCUAGCCCCUUUUUUUUUUUUUUUGUGGGGGCCAAGACUUUUCAUAAACUUGAGCUAGAUGUUUAUCUACUUAUCCCAAUAAGACUAUUCACAUAAACACAAAGAGUCUAUUCUUUUCCAUCAAACAUUUCAUGCUCCCAAAUCAUAAUCACAACACUCGCCCCCACCUAUAGCUAGACAAUAGAGUGUCUAAUCUAGCAAGAAUGAAGAUCAAGCAUUGUCGUUCCCGAUACUCUCAACAUUAUGCACAUGUAAGACUUUCCGAAAAAAGUCUCACUCAUCAAACAAUGAAAGCUUAAAAGGAGGAAAGGGUUUUGGGAGUGGUCUACCACUCGAGUUUGUCAAAAAGAUUGGCGUAAAGGAUGUGACAAUUCAAGUGUGUAUAGCCAUGACUCAGUACACAAGGGACCAUGAGCAAGAAGCAUUAAGUUCAUUCAGUACAAAUAAGGUUGUAGUUGGCUUCAAAGAUUGAGUUUCAGCAACUAAUGAGAUUCAGGAAGAGUUUUCAAGGCUCGAAACAAACAAGGCUUUUUGAGAGAUGCAAUAGCUAUUCGAGCGCGAGGUAGUGUUUUUUACAAGACAUUUUAAAUCAUUGCUUCCAAUGCAAGUGAAUGCAACCUAUAUGCUCUAGACUCUCCUAAAAAUGCAAGUGAUGUAAUCUAUAUGAUUUUUUUUUUAAUGCAAAAAGGUAUGUAUGCAAGACUCAAUGCAAAAUCAUCAAAGCAAACAUGAUCAAAUACUUGGUACCUCCCCCAAACUUUAGUUACACAGUCCCUGUGUUGUCAAGUAGAGAGAGAUACCCAAAAGAAAGCUAAUAUGCAAAAAAUGAAAUGGUAUAUACAAGGGAAAGUAAUGAAGUACCUUCUACGGAUAGUGAGUAGGGGUAGAUGCCCCAGCAUCGUCGUCGUCAGGUGGGAAUGUGGUGUAGUAACCACCUGGUGUUGAGCUGUAGCCUCCAAACCAUGGCUGGCUCUGAACCUUGUCAAUCUCGACCUCAUUAUCAGAAGAGGCUAGGGAUGGGGACUUGUUUCCUGAGGUGGCUGGUUCAAUGGGUGGGUUCCUCCACUUGCGCUGGAGCUGUUUAGCAGUGAGGGGGAAGACCAAGAUCCGCAGGCUGAGGUGUAGGCUGGGGGACUGAUGUGUUCGCGAAGGCGAAGUCUGCUGAGCUACAUCCAGCUAUUCCUCCCCUGGUCAAGACAUCAGCUACUUUCUUCAUGAACUUGGCUGAAGUCUUUGCUUGCUUCUUCACAGUCUUGCUAAGCGUCUUGCACUUGUCUUUCAGCUUUUCUAUCGUCAUUUCUUGUGCUUUGUUCCAUAUCUGAAGUCGACCAAUAUGCUCAUGAGCAUCACGAAGCGCACCAGGAGGAAGAACUCCAGCAUAUGGCUUGAAGUAGUAGCGCGGAGGUCCAUAGACAGGUUCAGAUGCUUCCACAGCAGGUUCGUCAUGUCUCGUCGGAGCACUCCUUUUCCUUGGUGCAGUAAUGGGACGAAGAGACCCGUGCUCUCCCAGAAAGUCUUCCUCAGAAAUGUUGAAGCUGAUAGCUCCAGGUCUCUCUAAGCUCGUCAGGUUCUUGUUUGAAAGAACCACUUCAACAGGCUUGCCUUUCAAGUAGUAGUAGUAGACGUAGUUCUUCCCAUACAUCCCGCUGAAAUAAGUGGCAAUCUUCAAGUAAGUGCCAUCAAUGAAUCUAGGUCCUGCUGCGUCCUUUCCAAAGGGAACAUUCAUAAAUUGAAGCAGUGGUGUGAUCAACCCGCCAAUUCCAACCUUCGGGCGCGAAUCAGAGGUGUACCAUGCCCAGUCUCUGUAGUGCUCGAGAUGACUCACAAAGAAACUGACCAUCCCAAAGGUAGCAUAGAUGUCGGUGCUUGGAAGAGGCAACACUCCAGGGGCGGCGUAGGGUCGGAUAGCCGAGCAGAGCAGUCGCAUAUCUUCCUCGGUGACACUACCUGCUUCCUUCCGUGGAUAAAAUGCAUGGACGAGCAUCCUAUGGAGGUAGCGCACAGACGGAUGCCGGAUAUGUUAGUUCUUGUCAGUCCCGGUAGAGUGCCUGUUUCCGGUGAUCAACUUCCAAAGCUCGAUGGGGAGAUUUUCGCAUUUGGGAAGAGAGUAGUCUUCCAAGUCUUGGAACCCCAUGACUCUCCCAAUGUCCUUGAAGUUCAUGUUGUAGUCUCUCCCAUUGACCUUGAACUUGAUCUUGCCCCAUCAUUGCCUCACAUGCGGAGUGUUAUGGUAAGUGACCUCAAGGGAAGACAAGAACUAACAGGAGACAUCCUUGUAGACAGGGUAAGCCAUGGUGAGGAGUUUUGGCAUCUUCAAAUGUCUCAGAAUCGCCUCAAUAUCAGAAUCAAGAGUCAACUCCUUCAGCAAAUCAAGGUCGGCGAACCUUGUUGGAGUCCAAGUGACCAUCCAGCAAGUGAUCAUACAGCUCUUCCACAUAUGGAGUUUUCUCCCUGUCCCUAUCAACAGCAACCGCAUUCCCUUUUGACAUCUUGGCUUUCUUUGAAGGAGCCUGCUCAUCCUCACUUUCAUCGUCACUCUUCUCAUUAGUGGGAACUGCUACACUUUUCCCUGCCCUCUUCUUUUGCUCUUUUGAUUUCUUUGAAGCCAAGGUUUGCUGUCGAGAAGUCCUCUGUGUCCCAGAGCCAGCUGGCUUGGAGGCUAAGGCUUUCCCACUUAGUGCAGACUCUUUUCUUCCAGCUUCUUGCUUCUCAGCAUCCAGCUUUCCCUUUGUUUUCUUAACCAUUGGUACCUGAAACAUUCAAAACUUGAAAAGGGAUAAGUAGAUGGAAGCAAAGAAGAUUAAGACUUUGUAAAUGAAAAUUGCAAGAGUAAACUCAACAAAUGAACUAGCAAUUUAAGCUCAAGUUAACCCAAUGCAACUAUUUCACACAUUUAGCACUAAGAAACCAAGCUAAGAGCAAAGAAUCACACUUCUCAAUCUUAUCAAAAUAUGAAAAUUACAAGUUAAGUAAAAUUCAAUAAUCAAAGUGGUUCUAGAAUGAGAAAAUUCUUUAAUCAAACUUUUAAACACCUUAACACACCAAGUUCACCCACCAACACACUCAAUUAAGGUCAAUUUCGAAAAGCCCCAAAUCCAUGAACCCUAAUUUUGUCAAAGUUCAAAUUAAACUCAAUUUCACCAUUAAUUUAACAACCCAACUUGAUAGAUAAGUUUUCCCUAGUCUAUUUCACCACAAUCAAGCAAGAAAAUGACCAAAUUUCGACUUUCAAAUUCUAGGGUUCAUAGACCUACGAAAUUGAAUUUAAAAACUCAAUACCUUGCUUUGGAUGAAAGGAAAUGGUGAAUGGGUGAUGGGGAAUAAACUACAGGGGUGAAAUCUUAGAUUUAGAAACAAGAACUAGGCGAUUUGGUUGAGAAUUAAGAAAUUUAUGGGAUUUUUUUGGUGUGGGUGAGUUUGAGAGAGUAUGAGUGUUUGUGAGGGGAGGGAGAGUGAGGAAGAUGAAAAUCGAGGGUUGUGGGGUAGGUUUAGGGUCGUCCGGUUCGGUUUAGGUGGGAAGGGACCGGUCUAAUUAAAUUGAACCGGGAUUAGAUCAAAAAUCACUUACCUGAACCGGUCGUGGAGCGACCUCGGCACGUCGCUCCGGGAGGUCGCUCCCGGCUUGUUGUUCGUAUCUCAAAUCGACACAAACCCGAGUGACCUCGGGGUGUCGCUGUGGUGACCUUGCUCUGGAGCUGGAGCGACUUCGUGUCGUCGCUCUAGGAGGUCGCUCCGAGAGUAUUUUUCAAGCUCCAAAAUGCCGUAAAGCCGAGCGACUUGUUACACUCGCUGUGGUGAUGUUGCUCCCAGCUGGAGCGAACUUUCACCCUCGCUUCCAGGUACUCGCUCCCACACCUGAUUCUUUUCUCAAACCGGAUCGAUCAAACACCUGCACACAACUUCAAUUCUUUUUUUUUUUUUUUGAAAUAUGAUGAAAAUGAAAAUACUAAUGCAAUAUGUACAAGGAUAUACAUGAGACUUCCUCUCAAGUGAGCUUGUUUUAAGUCUCUAGCUUGACUUUGCCUCCUUUUAGAUUAGGUCGGGGUAGGAUCAGAAAGUGGAGUUGAAACCCCAUCUUUCUCUGGUGCAGUAGCCAUGUAGAGCUUAACCCUUUGCCCAUUGACUGUGAAGUCUCUUCCAUCAGUACUCCACAAAACUAUUGCCCCAUAUGGCCUAACCUCCUUGACCUUGAAAGGACCGGACCACCUUGACUUAAGCUUUCCUGGAAAUAGCUUCAACCUAGAGUUGUAGAGAAGAACUUGAUCUCCUUCUUUAAACUCUCUCUUCAGGAUAUUCUUGUCAUGGAAAGCUUUAGUCUUCUCCUUGUAGAUCCUUGAGUUUUCAAAAGCAUCCAUUCUUAUCUCAUCAAGCUCAUGUAGCUGAAGAAGUCUUUUCUCCUUGGCACUCUUGAUGUCAAAGUUCAGCAACUUUACUGCCCAUAGUGCCUUGUACUUACUCAAGCUCCACUGGCAGAUAGCAAUCUUUCCCGUACACUAGGUUGAAAGGUGUGCCCCAUGAAGACAAUACCCCACACAUCAAACACUUCAACUUCAAGGAUUGGAUUUUGAGGCAUCUCAUUCCUUUUGGUGAUGUUCCCUCUCCUUUGGCAUGAAUCACACUUUGAAACAAAGUCUUGUGUAUCCUUAAACAUGUGUGGCCACCAGAAUCCAGCUUGUAGCACCUUUGCAACAGUCUUGAAGGUAGCAAAGUGGCCUCCAUAGGAUGAUCCAUGACAUUGUGUAAAGAUCUCAUCAAUCUCCUCAUUAGCAACCACUCUCCUAUAAAGUUGAUCAUUGCAGAGAAUGUAGAGGUAGGGCUCAUCCCAGUAAUACCUCUUCACAUCUUUGUAGAACUUCUUCUUGGCAUAGCCCACAAAAUUCAAAGGUUUUUUUCCUGUGGCUAGGUAGUUCACCAAAUCAGCAUACCAAGGUUCUUUCUCUUCUGUUGCCUUGACUUCUUCAAGCUUUCUACCAGUCUCACAAACUGUGAUCACUGCUCCAAUAGCCAUGAUCUGCUCCUCUGGAGGUCCUUCGUCAAUAGGAAUGCCACACUCCACUCUCAGCCUGGACAAGUGAUCAGCUACACCAUUCUCAACUCCUGACUUGUCUUUGAUCUCUAAAUCAAACUCUUGAAGCAAAAGGAUCCAUCUCAAGAGCCUGGGUUUUGCAUCCUUCUUGGCCAAAAUGUGUCUCAAAGCAGCAUGAUCUGUGUAGACAAUGACUUUAGAUCCCACCAAGUAGCUUCUGAACUUCUCAAAGGCAAAGACAAUGGCUAGCAUCUCCUUCUCUGUUGUGGCAUACCUCAUCUGAGCAUCAUUCAGGGUUUGGCUCGCGUAGUAGAUCACAUGGGUCUUGCCAUCUUUCUUCUGCCCCAAAACAGCUCCCACAGCAUAAUCACUAGCAUCACACAUGAUCUCAAAGGGGAGAUCCCAAUUAGGUGGCUGGACAAUUGGAGCACUGAUGAGUUCACCUUUCAGCUUCUUGAAGGCUUCUAGACACUCCACAUCAAAGCUGAAGGUGGCUUCUUUGCACAGCAGCCUGGUCAAUGGUCUAGUGAUCAUGGAGAAGUCCUUUAUGAAUCUCCUGUAAAACCCAGCAUGACCAAGAAAACUUCGGAUGUCUUUCACUGUCUUUGGUGGGGGCAAACCAACCAUAACAUCGAUUUUGGCCUUAUCCACCUCAAUCCCCUUCUCUGAAAUCUUGUGCCCCAGCACAAUCCCUUCUUUGACCAUGAAGUGACACUUCUCCCAGUUCAGCACAAGGUUGGUGUCUUCACAUCUCUGUAGGACCCUGCACAAAUUUGACAAACAAGCAGAAAACGAAGAUCCAUAGACAGAGAAAUCAUCCAUGAACACCUCCACAACAUCCUCAAUCAGAUCAGAAAAGAUCGACAUCAUGCACCUUUGAAAGGUGGCUGGAGCAUUACAUAGACCAAAUGGCAUUCUUCGAUAUGCGAAGGUACCAUAAGGACAUGUGAAUGUUGUUUUCUCCUGAUCAUUGGGAUGUAUGGGGAUCUGGAAGAAUCCUGAAUAUCCAUCAAGAAAACAAUAGAAUGGAUGAUUUGCAAGUCUCUCAAGCAUCUGAUCAAUAAAUGGAAGUGGAAAAUGAUCCUUUCUAGAUGCAGAGUUCAGUUUGCGGUAAUCAAUACACAUCCUAUGCCCAGUGACUGUUCUUGUUGGUAUCAAUUCAUCCUUGUCAUUUUUAAUCACAGUUAUACCACCCUUUUUUGGCACAACAUGCACAGGAGAUACCCAUUUAGAAUCUGAGAUAGGGUAGAUAACACCAGCAUCUAAGAGUUUAAGAAUCUCUUUCUUUACAACAUCCUUCAGGUUAGGAUUUAACCUUCUUUGAUGCUCGAUAGAAGUCAUUGAUUCAUCCUCAAGAUGUAUCCUAUGCAUACACAAAGAGGGUGAUAUUCCCUUGAUGUCAUCAAGUGAGUAACCUAUUGCUUUUCUAAAUCUUUUAAGUGUUUUCAAAAGUUCAGAUAGCUCAGUUUCAGUAAGUUCACUACUCACAAUGACUGGAUAAGUUCCAUUAGGACCAAGAAAUGCAUACCUUACACCAUUGGGGAGAGGUUUAAGCUCCACCUUAGGCGCCUUAAGCUCGCUCCAGUCGUUUUGCUGGGUGUCCCCUUGUUGAAUGACCGAGGCUUCCUGAUGGACAAUUUGAGGCAGCUCCUCAUACUGAUCCUUACUACCAAAUCCUCUGUGUGAAUCCAACAUCAUCCCAUAGGCAGCACUCUCCAGGUUCUGAAUCACUUCAGCUGGCCUCUCUAUCGUCAAAGCAUGCUGUAGAGGGUCUUCUAUUGACAAUUCUUCAAGGAGCUCAUCAGCAAGGGCAUCCAUCUCUUCAAUGUAGAAAACUUGCCCUUGAACUGUUGGUUUCUUCAUUACCUCCUUGAUGUCAAAGUGAAGAACAUGCCCUUUACCCAAGUGGAGAUCAAUCUUGCCCUCUUUCACAUUAACAAUUGCUCCUGCUGUAGCUAAGAAAGGCCUUCCAAGGAUUAAAGGAUCUGCAGCUUCCUCACCCAUCUCAAGCACCACAAAGUCUGUAGGGAUCUCAUAUUUUCCAACCAUAACGGGGAGGUCCUCCAAGAUACCCACAGGGUACUUCACUGAACGAUCAGCCAAUACCAGAGACAGUCUACACUUCUUGUACUGAGUGAAACCAAGCUUCUUAGCAACAGAUAAAGGCAUCAAGCUGACACUAGCUCCCAAAUCGCAGAGACAUCUAUCAAAUACCAUAGGUCCAAGAGCACAAGGUAAUGUGAAGCAUCCUGGAUCUUCUAGCUUCUUUGGAACAACAAGCCUCUGGAUGAUGGCACUGCACUCAUGAGUGAGAAUCAUCAUGCCCUCCAUCUCUUUCUUCUUUGCAGCUACAACAUCUUUCAGGAACUUGCUAUAUUGAGGAAUCAGCAUGAAAGCAUCAAUAACGGGCAUUGUGACUUGAACUUCACUCAUCUGCUUCUCAAAUAGAGCUUUGUACUUCUCUAGCAGCAGCCUCUUGAAUCUACCAGGGAAUGGAGGUUUGGGUUCAUAGGGAGGAGGAACAAAAGAAUUCUCACUUGCUGGAGCAACAACUUCACCAUCUUUCACUGUUUUCUUCUCUUCCCCAACCUUUCCUUUACCUUUGGCUUCCACAAUCUUCUCCAAGAUUUCAUCAUUGAUUUUCUCAUCAACAAUCACCACUUCAUCAUCUAUGUUGAUGGCCACCCCCUCACCUUGUUUCUCAGCAUCCUUGGUGAGAGCUCUAUGAGGUAACUCCUUACCACUCCUGAGGGUGAUAGCUUUCAUGGCCUCUUUGGGGUUUUGCUUAGAUUUUCCAGGUAAAGAAUCUUGUUGGCGAUUUUGGUGAGUGUUCAUGGCAGCAAACUGGUUCUCCAAAGCUUUGAACUUGUUGUUGAGAUCACUGUAGCUCCUAUCAAUCUUUGAGUGAAGGUUCUUCAACUCAUAACCAACAUGCUUCUCACUUCUAGUCUGAGACUCCAAGAUUUGUUUCAGUAGGGCAUCAGUGCUGCUUUCUUGAGGAGUAGAGGUAGAAGGAUUAGCUUGUUGUUGGGAAGAAUGGUGUCCUUUGUUGUUGAAACCAGGAGAAGGGUUUUGCUGAGGCUGAUAGCUGCCUUGCUGGUUGUUCCUAGGCUGAUAACCACUUUGUUGGUUGUUGGAAUAGGAUUUCUGUUGGUAGUUGUUGUACUGAAAGUUUGGCUUUUUUUUGUACCAGCUACCAUUGUUGUUAAUGAACACAGCUCUUCUUGACCUUCCAAACCCUCAACCUCAUGGACAACAGGUGGUGUCUCUUGGUUUGGGUUACCAACAAAUUUCAGCUGCUCUUGGGUGGAUUUAUCAGCAAUGAGUAUGUCUAUCUUAUCCUGUAGAGCCUUUAACUCCUUCCUCGUCUGUUUGUCAUCUGUUCUACUGCCUCUGUCGUGGUCUCCACUGUAGACUGCGUCACUCUUUACCAUAUUGUCAACCAGCUCUUCUGCAUCUUCCUCAGUUCUUCCCAAGAAGAACCCAUUGCUAGCUGUAUCCAAUCUGGCUCUGUACUUAGGAAGAGCACCCCUGUAAAAUGUGCUUAGCAAGCUUUCCUUAAAGAAACCAUGGUGUGGGCAUUGAGUUUGGUAGCCCUUGAAUAUCUCCCAGGCUUCACUGAAUCCUUCAAAGUUUUUCUGUUGAAAGCUGAAAAUCUCAUUUCUAAGCUUAGCAGUUCUUGAAGUAGUGGCUCCAUUGGCGUUCGCAUCAUCUUGAGGUUGGUCUCCCAUAUCAAUAUCCAAUCUCUGCAAGUGAGCCUGUUGCUCUUCUUCUCUUCUCUUUCUAGCACACUCUCUCUCUAAAGCUCUGAUGUCUGCAACUCUGGGAACUAGGUUUGAUGGACCUCUGCUCCUCAAGUUCAUACACCAGAAAGUAAAAGGGAACUCUAACAACAAAUGUCUUUGGCAAAGUAUGCUAAAAGCUUAGAAGAGUUGUCUCAGGCAUUUCAUCAAACACCUUUUGGGUGGAAAAUGCCUAAAGAUCAACUUUUGAGAGGCCAACUCAGAAGAUGCAUUAUGAAUACUCUACUAGCAAGGACUAAGAAUGAUCUACACUAAAACAUCCUAGCUCUAACCUAAUCACCCUUAAUCUCCCUAACCCAUGAAUUCAAAAGGUGAUUACUCACUAAUCUCCAUGAUUCCUCUUAAACCCAUAUUGGAUUUCAGAUUUAUCAUGUAGAGAAAUACAGAGAAUCGAUAUGAAAACAACAAGAUUGCAAUAACAAAAAUGAUCAAUUGAAUCAAAGAGAUGAACUUUCCAAGAGGUUUUUGGUGGUUUUCUUAGGAUAAAAGAUAAUCAGCCUCCAAUGGCUUACAAAAGGUACUUAAACAUAGGUUUAGAAAGUGUAAAACGUGCAUAACAAAUGACCAAAAGGCCCUUGAUUAAUCAUAAGUUCGACCAAAUAAUUGAAGCGCAGCGACCUUGGCACGUCGCUCCGGGAGGUCGCUCUAAGUGUUGGGAGCGACCUCAGGUAGUCGUUGUGGGACGUUGCUCCCGGCUUGUUCUUCGUGUCUCAAAUCGACACAAACCCGAACGACCUUGGGGUGUCGCUGUGCUGACCUCGCUCUGGAGCUGGAGCGACUUCGUGUCGUCGCUCUAGGAGGUCGCUCCGGGUCUAUUUUUGCACUCCAAAACGAUGAAAUGGCGUCGCUCUGGUAGGGUCGCCCCCAUGCACUGCUCGUCCAACGAUCACCUGUAUCACCUCUUUUGAGCUCCAAAUGCACCCAAAUGUCUCCAAGAACUCCAUGUGGUACUCCAAUACCUAAUAAAGACUCAUGUAUGCAAAAUGCAACCUAAACAUAGCUAAAUCCUAGUCUAUAUGAUCAAAAUGCACAUGGGUGAAUGGAUAACACAAUGGAAAUAUGCAAGAUAUCAAUCUCCAAAAGUUUAGAAAAGACAUGGGUGAUGUAGGAGUCAAGCUUUCACAGGUAACGAAUAUGCAUGAUGCUUAUGUCCAAAUGAUGCUCAUCAAGGACAUUCUAGCUUACAAAAAAGAAGUAGGAGAGCUCCUUGACAUCUCUACUAUGCAGCUAGAUCCACCAGUCACACCAAAGUCUCUUCCGAAAUUAGAAACCCAAGGGAAGUUCACCUUGUCUUGCUCUCUUGGUAAGUUCACACUUGAUGAUGCUCUUGUUGAUUAUGGUGCAAGUGUGAAUGUGAUCUCAAUAUAGAUGGUGAAGAGUCUUGGGAUUGAAAACAUGGAGUCAAACACAUCUUUACUAAUGUUUGGAGACUCCUCUUCUACAAUCCCAAUUGGUCUCAUCAAGGACUUUCCUUUGAAGAUAGGAGCUUGCACCAUUCCUAUUGACCUCACUGUUUUGAAGAUGGCAACUGAGAAGAGAGGCCCAUUGAUCUUUGGCACACCAUUUCCCACAACAGUAGGAGCUUGCAUUGACUUUGCCAACAAGAAGGUCACACUCCUUAAUGUGAACAAAGCUGUCUCCUACCCAAUCAAGUCUCCAAUGAUGAAUGUUGAGUAUUGUGGAACCAUCACUUGUGGAGAACCUUCCAUUGAAAAGAUCAAGGAUGAAAUGGUUGUUAGUGGAAAAGAAAGUCUUGAUGGAGAGUCUUCUAAAGAGAUGUGUGAUGAGCACUUGGAAAGUGCUACAAAUGAGGAGGUGAGUAGAGCCACAAAGGUUGCUCAUGACAAGAAAAAGAUGAUGAAAUAACCUCACCCUCCACCUCUUGAUAUGCCACACACUCUCACUCUUCAUCUAAUGAAGUUCAAGGAUGGAGCUAUUGAGUACAAGAUCAAAUGCAAAGGAAAGUUUACACCAUUCUCAAGUGCAAAGGCUAUCAUCACUCCACAACUACAAGAUGAUCCAAUCAAGCUUCAAGAGCUUCUCCCUCAAGUCCUCACUAUCAUUCUUGAAGGUGGGAAAGAAACUCCUCUUCAUUAGCCAAUUGGAAGGAAAGUCAAGCUAGAGACUUAAAACAAGCUCACUUGGGAGGAAGUCUCAUGGUAUCCUUUGUAUAUAUUUUAUAUAUCUUUUUUCUUGCUUUAGUGUGUUUGAAUAAGCUUAGGGCCAAGUUUGGGGGAAUUCUCAAAAAAAUUCCAAAGGUCAUGUAGAAAAUUCCAAGGUGACAACAAAUCCUCUCUCCUCAUUCCCUUCUCUCAUCAAAGCCAACUCCAAGUAAGUGCAUCUCCACCCUUGUAAAUACUUAGUUCUUUCAUCUUUUAUCUCUACUUUGAUCUCUCUUUCAAGUUUACUCUCACACAAGAGACUGUGUGAAGUAAGUUUGGGGGAGAGUCUACUAUCUCACAUUGUGUUUUGUUUUGUUUACUUGUCAUGAGUCUCAUGCAUAGAAAAAAAAAUUGAAAAUUUUGAAAAUCACAAAAAGAAGCAUUUAGUUGCAUCAUUUGCAUCUUUAGGAUUGAGUCUAGAAGCAUUUAGAUUGCAUUCAUACAUUGAGAGAAACCUUGUAAAGAACACAUGUCUAAAACUCAAUUUGACAUUCUAGCUAAACAUACCAAGUAGCUUAAGCAUCUCUUGAAAAAGAUUGUAAGCUUCGAGCCUUGAAAACUCUUCUUGAAACUGGUUGCUUGCUUGAUGAUUGACAUUGUUCUUGAAACCAACUCCAAAUGAACUAAGGCUUAAUGAACUUAAUCUCUCUUGCAUAUGAGCAUUUGCAUACUUGAUCAUGGAUAUUAUACACAUUUGGGUUAUCUUUCUCCUUUGUAUCAAUCUUUGUUAACCCAAAUGGCACUCCAUACCCAUUAACCCUCACCAUUCUUUAAAACCAACAUUAAUUUGUUUGAGUGAUGCCUUUUAUUGAUAGCAUGUCAUGUGAAAAAUCUUGAGAGUAUUAGGAGCGGCAAUGGGGUUGUUCUCAUCUUUGGCUAGCAUUAGGACGUCAUUUGUGCUAGCCUCUAGGAUGGUUGUUGGGUUUGUGAGCUUAAAUUCUUUUGAUCUUGGGAAUGAGAGAGAUUGAGUGAAAGAAAUGAACCAAAAAGAAUGCUUAAAGUAAGAAACCCCUAGGGACAAAGAAAGUUAGAAAGAAAAAGCUCUAGAGUAUCAAUAGAACCCCCUCCCCAAAAAAAAAAAAUCAAAGAAACAAUAAGUGAGUGGGGAAAAAGAAAAGAAGAGAGAUGGGUCAAAAAGUUUAAAUUCAAAAGAACAAGUCCUUAGUUGGUUAAAUCAAAGGAAAGAAAAGAGAGUUCAUUGGGUGAGAGAUGAAAGUGAGAGUAUUUUGGGUUUGGGAAAGAAGGAAAAGAAGGGUAUAGAACUUAAAGUUAAUUAGGAAAGGGGUAGAAUGAUGAGAACAAGCAUUGUAUGCAUGAAUUGCUUCUUUUCUUAGAUAAAUUUUGCAUAAUGAUCUUGCUCCUAUUCUUGAGUGUGAGUCACUAUAAAUGAUGCAAUUGAAACCUAUUUUUCUUCACAUUAGACCAUCUUCUCUCACCAAGCCAAAUGAUUGAGAUCAAAUGUCCAUUUGCAAGAAUUCACCUUGUGUGUGUGUGUUUGAAUAAAUGUGAGGGUUGGCUAAGGAACUUGUUGGUUGAAUGGCAUUACAACUUGUGUAGAGAUAAAAGAAUCUUGAUAGGCCUUGAGAAGCUAGAGUGCACUAAGAGAUUUGCUCAUGCUAUUUGCUAUGUUUUCCUUUGGAUGUUUGGUUGAAGGCUAGAAAGUGUUCUUUUGGUUAUGAGUUCUCAUUUUUAAACCUCUCUCCCUUUAGCUCUUGAAAGUUUACUUGUGGACAAGUAAAAAGUAAGUUUGGGAGAGUUGAUAUAACAUGAUUUUAAUGGUAUUUAGAAUAUCAUUUAGCUCAUUCUAAUCAUUCUAGGUUGCAUUUAGGUCUUUAUAUUGCAUUUUCAUACAUAAUUGCAUUUGAUAGGGUUUGGAUUGCACAAAUGAGGAGUUUUGGGCGAUAUCAAGGGUCAAUUUGAACGUUUUAUGACUUUGGGGCCAGAAUGAAAGAUAUCAACAGUCCAGGGACCCGAUGUGCAAAUAGCUUAAAAGUCACCAUCGUUGAUCUUCGAUGGAGCUCCUCUUCGAUCCGCGACAGCGAUUCUUGAAGCGACGACGAGCCUCACCGGAGAAGAGCACACCAGAGGAUCUGAGCUGGCCUGAACAUGAUGAUCCGCGGCGGAGUUCGUGGUGGCAAGCGGAGGUUUCAAGCGACGAUGACCAGUGGAUCUUUGAGACACGACGAAGGAGCUGAGCACGAGAACAACCAUGGCUUGGAUCCGAGGCACGGACAAGACAGAAGAGGAAAGUGACGACGGAGGAGUCAGGCUGAGCCGCGGCUGUCAAGAACGGAGCACCAGAGCCUCGACGAGCUUGGACACCAUUUUAGACCCCAAGGGAGUUGAUUCACAGCGGUUUGUUGUUGCGGGGAAGAGACGGCGGUUCAGUGUUGCGGGUUGGUAAGCUCGCUCGUAUUGUCACGAGCUCGGGAGCGGCUUGAUGCUAGCGAGGAGAAGAAACCGUGCGCGGUAACUUGGAAAAACUCGUAAGCUUCAAAGCGGCUUGGCGAAACGGGUUGAUGAAGCCGAUGUGGUCAUCCAUUUUGCGAAAUUAAAUUAUUGACCGGUUUAAUCCGGUUUGACUCUGGUUUGUGGGGUCAAACCAGUUCGAGUUUUACCACCCUAUAAAUAGAUUUAGACCUACAAACCUUAGAGAUAUCUUGUUUUCUCUCAAAAUACAUUUUGACUUUGGAGAAAGUGUGAAUCUUUAUUAAUUUAAUAUUUCUUUUUUGAGUAAUUUGAGUCUAUCUCAUCUUCUUAACAUGAUUUUUUUUGAAUCUAUUAUGGGUUUAAAGUUAAUCAUGAAGAUUAGUGAAUAGAUUCUUUUUGGAUUCAUGGGGGAGGAUGAUUAGGAUGAUUAAGUGAUGAUCUAGAAUGUUUAGGUCAACAGCCAUGGCGGGUGGCUUCUGAUGCAGCUUGGGAUGCAACAACUGGUAACUGUGUCCUGGGAUGGCACAUCUCCGACGCUGAUGCAACAUCAGCAAGCAACUUUACCUCAAAACGCCGUCAUGUACCCUCGGCCCUUGUAGCAGAGGCUUUGGCGUUGAAGACUGCAGUCUCAACUGCAGUUCUACGGGGUGCUACUUCUUUAGUGGUAUCCUCAGACUCGAAGACGCUUAUCAAUCUCCUAGUGGUAAAGGAGAAUCAUCUUCAUGUCCAAGGAAUAUUGUUUGACAUCCAUCGACUUUGUUCCACCCUUAUCUUUGUUUACUUUCAAUUUGUACCUCGCAACGCAAACUCUUUGGCGGAUGCUCUUGCCAAAUCGGCACUCUGUGCUUUGAAGAACUCUCCAUGUGUGGAUGAGUAAAUUAACAUUGUGAUCUUUGAACUUGAAUGAAAUUAUGGUUUGAACAAAAAAAAAGACUCUUUUUGGAUUCAUGGGGUAGGAUGAUUAGGAUGAUUAAGUGAUGAUCUAGAAUGUUUAGAGUAGAUUAAUAUGUUUCCUUGCUGAUUGAGUGAUCUUAAUGCUAAUCUAGAGUUGGUCAUAGAUUGGAAAUCUAGACAUUUCAUUGCCCUGAAGGUGUUCGAUGAAAUGUCUGAGCCAACUCAACAUGCUCUUAGCUUACCCUACCAAAUGCAUUUGAUGUCAAGGGAGUUUAGAAAGUUGAAUAAUAUGUUCUUAAUGAUUGCUUGAUUGACACAAAUCAAAGACAUUUGAUGUUUGAUCAAUGAGAGUAAAUGAGCAUUUGUCUUGACAAAGAACGAAUUGUUAUCUAGACUUAGAGAAAUGUGUUGAUUGAAACCUUGCUAUUUUAGAUUAAAUCUUAGUCAUCUGAAAUCAAAUUCUUAUACCCAUGAUUCCUCCUUUAUCCAUUUGCUUGAAAGUUUGCUAGAACGUAGCUCGAACCAGUAAGUCAAGCUAAGAAUUAUUUGGGGGCAGCUUCCUGUUAGUAAAUUUCAAUAGAAUUCUCAAAACCUAAUUGAUGAAACAAAGAACACGUAUGUUUUUUUAGUCAACGGAGACGGCGACGUUCUUUUAUUUUUUUAAAGCUAUUUUACUUUUAUUUUUUUUUAAUUUUAAUAUUCUUUUUCUCCUAAUCCUACAUGGCACUUUGGUUGGUGUUAAUAAUAGAGGUGAAUUUGAGAGUUCACCAUAGAGGGUGAACCAAAGUUUUGUUCGUGAAAUAAUACAUGAUAUUCCAUCUGUUUCAUAAUAAGUGUCAUUCUAACAUUUUUUUAUUGUUACACAAAAAGUGUCACUUUAUGAUUUCAAUGCAAAUUGUACUUACUUUCAGCUGAAAAUUAAUUGCAAACUGUAUUGAUUUUAUAAAUAAUUUUAUUUAUCUCAAAUACUAUUGGUCAGAAAUGUGUAAUUAAUAACAACUUAUAUAUAUUUCAGUUACUUUCUUAAUCUGUGUGAAAAAUGUCAAAGUGACACUUAUUCAGAAACGGAGAGAAUAUAGUUUAAGAAGUGUUACAAAAAGCGAGGUAGUAGCUGAUUUAGAGACUGGAGUUGGAAGUCGACCUAAAACUAAACUUAAAAGCGAGGUUAAGAAAGCAAAGAUUUACCUCGAGGAAAGAAAAUUAUUGACAAAAGAUUUUCAAAAAACUUUGUACAAAAUUUAAAAAUAUUCCAUAAGAAAAUUAUGAUAAUUUCUCUUGCUUGAGAAGUUGGCUAGGGGAACCAUGAAAUCUACUAGUACAAGUAUAUAUUGAAUCUUAACGGCAAUUUCGAGUAGCUUUAUUUCUUUUAUUAUUGUUAUAAAAGUAAAACAAACAUUGAUAAAUGUAAAAUAAUUAUAUAAUUAAAAAUAAAAAUAGUUAUUAAUUAGACAAGCUUUGGAUUUUUAACAAAAAUAACCAAAACAAACAGUGAACAUAAUAUUACUUUCGACUGAAAGUAAACAAAAUAUUUUAAAACAUAUAUAUAAUAUAAUUUUAGAUAUUUUAGAUAUUGCUCGGGUGAGUUUAAUUCUAGUUCUAUAUAAAAUAAAGUUAUAUAUGUUUUUCCAAAGAAAACUGCAAUUUAAUAAUGGAGUACGAAACAGAAAAAAAGAAGUUAGACGCUCUCCAUACAUAAUGACAAUGUUGUGUUACAUAAAAUAAACCACAAAGAGGUUGACAAUUUUUAUUCCUUGAUAUAGCACUUAUUCAAACAUAAAGCAAAUUAAGAGCUCCCAUCAAACAGACUUAAGUUCUAAGAAAAGGGUAAAACUCAAACCUUGCAACACAGCUUCUACACAUUAGUCUAGCUCCUUGUCCUUCAUCGAAGCAGAAUGGAUGCCCCAAGACAAGCCACUCUAGACACACAUAGCAAGAACUCGCAAAUAACUCGUUCGUACAUUGCAACAUUCCAUAAAACUUCUUUUUCCCAAUCAUCAUCUCCCCCGUUGCGUACAGUGGCCCCCUGAGGUCGCUGUCAGUCGUCUUGUUGAUUACAGACAAUAGCUUAUCGGUGAAAUCCAUCUUCUUCUUUUCGAAGAUCUUCUUAUCGCCGCUCACGGAUUUUGGAUUGCUUAUACACAAAUAAUUAUCGUAGUGGACUCUGUUCGGUAGGGCCAUUCUAAUGGAAUUGAGUGUAGAAAUAUCCAAAAGACAUUGGUCAUACCAUAUUGUUGCUCCUUUGUGUCCAGGACAUUUCUUGCGAAGCUGUCAUAUAUAUAUAACGACACCACGAUAAAGAAGUGCACUAUCUUAACAUUUGACUAAAUUAAUAUAGAUUUUUGUUAUGUACCAGGUCCUCAAACUGUAUCAGUUUAUGUCAGUUAAACAUUCUAUGUAUAGUAUGCGUAUAUCUAUGAUAUAUGUUUAUCGAUAAGAAUACCUAGUGUGUGCACAUGCCUAUUUGUAUAGUUCAUACUUGACUGCUAAUAAUAUAUAAUAGUGAAUUGAUGUUACCCCAGAGAGGGCUUCGGCAAGGCAAGAGUGACACUUGGGCCCGUAGGAGUCACCACGGCAUUGGAGCGUGACGAAAACAGUAUUGGGAGGUAUAUCAAAAUAGGGACUCUUCAUAUUAGAGUCGAGGGCGUAACCGUUGCGCAGAUCAAACGUGGAUAUGUUUUUGAUGACAGUGUUGAGAUUUUUCUCGAACAAACUCCCCGGCUUGUAUUUCCCUUGGGUGUUGUUGCAUGCAUGGUGGAGAUACAAAUUGGUAAUGUUAAGAGACGAAACAACGCUGGGUAUAAGGAGGAGUUGUAUGGCCACCGCGGCCACGAUAGGGACCGAUCCAAAAGACAUUUGUUUGUGAUCUUUGUCCCUUUGGAACGUUUUUAGUUAGUAGAUGAAUCGUUGAGGAGUGGAGAUGUUUAUAUAGGAGACUUGGUGAGGAUUUUAUGAUUCUUUUUGUACUUUGGUGACCGUAAAGAAAAUCGUUUUAUCAUUCCGAUGCUUUAGUCUAAAAGACAGGAGAGAGGUUGAAACUUAAUAUUUUCGGCGAGAGAAAAGAGCCGAUGAAAUAGUCAAAGUUGGACAAUUCUUUUUAAGAACCACGUGAUUAGGGCUGAGCCAGAUAAAAAGAACCGAGCCAAAUCAGACCCAGAAAAAUAGUAAUAAACCUGAACCGAAACUGAAUAAACAUCCGAAUAAAUCUAAAAUUUUAAUAUCUAAGAAUCUGAAACUAAAUCUGAGUUCCGAUCUGAGCUGAAAUAUUUUGGAUAUCCGAAGAUAUCUUAAACACGGUUAUUUAAUUAAAUAUAUUAAUGUUAGAUUUAAUAUCUAUAAAAUAUUCAAAAUACAUGAAAGUAUACAAAACAUCAAAAUAGUCACAAAUAAAUAUAAAAAGAUAUUUUUUCUCCACACAAAUAUCAACCAAGUUUUAUGUUAAUUUUAGAUAUUUAGUUUUACAUUAUUCAUAUUUAUAUCUUGUAUAUUAUUUUUAUUUUGGAUUUAAGGAUUUUAAUAUAUAUUAGUUUUUUAAUUCUUACAUAAUAGAUAUAUUUAUUAUUUUUAAAAUGUAUGAAAUAGUUAAAAUAUCAAAUCAAAUAUUUGUAUCCAAACUCGAAAGGGUAUAAUAUUUCAAUUUAAAAUUUCAUUUACCAUUUUAUUUUAAAGGAAUUUACCAAAUAUGAUUCAAAACUUGAUUUUGAUUGUAAAAAUAUACUCAAACUUAAAUAAAAUGCAAAAAUAACCCAAAAGCCUUAUGAAUCAAACUCGAAUCAAAUGUAAAAGUAACCUAAAAUCGAUUUUUAGGUGUAUUAAUAACUUCAAAUUGGUUGUUCAUGGUGGUUGGUGUAUUGAUGACAAUGACAAUAUUGUAAAUACUUGAUGAAGAUGAGAAUGAUAGAGUAAAAUACUCAUUUUUGAAAAAAAAAAAAAACUAAUGGUAUUUUCGUGAAUAUUUCAAACUUUUGUGGUGAAUAGAGCAAGUCAAAGUUCUAAAAAAAACAUGAGUUAAUUUUGUGUUUGACUUUGAGUUUUGAGUCAUAUUUGCGAAAAAACUCUUUAUUUUAUAUUCUCUUUGUUUAAUAAUAAAUGUCAUUUUAACUUUUUUUGUAACAAAAAAAUGUCAUUUUACAAUUUCAAUGCAAAUUAUAUUUACUUUCAGCUGAAAAUUAAUUGAAAACUACAUUGAUUUUAUAAAUUCUUUUAUUUGUCUCAAAUACUAUUAGAGAAAUAUAAUUAAUAAUAACUUACAUAUAUUUCUGCCAUUUUCUUAAUCUGUGUGAAAAAUGCCAAAGUGACACUUAUUUAGAAACGAAGACAGUACCUGCAAAAAGUUCGCUCACUUGGUAAAAAAUAUACGUUAAAAUCCACGUGGCUUAAAUAAGUAGAAGAAAACGAAAAUACUAAUGAGCUCCCUAGGUUUUAUAUCUUGUGAAAUCCUCGUUCCCACGAAUAUCACCUUAAGAAAUCUAUGUUUUGGAGUUUUCACAGAUAUUAAAAAAGACACGUAAAUUCUUGACUAUAAAUAUAUUAUUUUCUAUGAUUAACUAUUUUCAUAAUUUUUAACUAAUUAAAGUUUAGUAAACACAAUUAAUAUCUUCAAAGUUUACAAUUUAUCAUUAUUACAUGCAUUAAAAUGUAAAAUAUCUCUAUCAACUUAUCUUUAUAUAUAAAGUACAGUUUGUUUCACUCCUAGGCCAUCCACAUGGGAUUCCACGUUACUAAUUUGAACUCCCAAAACGCGCCAUGUGUCCCGGCCAUUUAAAACGAUGCACUUCAUUUAAUUAGAAAUCUGCUGGGCUUUUUGCAACGCUUUUUGAAAUCGGUAGCGUGAUAUGUGUACUUUGUUUUUUAUUCUCUACGAUAGACUGUGAUUUUGGGCCUGGCAGAUUAAAUUAAAUGGGCUUUCUAAAUUUGUUGUGUUUACUGAUCAAACCCAUAACAUAAACAGACACCCUCUUCAACUUCAACAUUUUCAUAUUUGAUUUCGAGGGUUCAUAGUGUUCUUCAUCCUCUGCUUUGGUAAACUGUCCAUGGAGUUUUUGAACGGUGAUGAUAGAGGACUAUUUACGGAGAAUCUCAGGAGCAAUUUGCCAUACGUGUUUUAAUGAUGGGUAAGGGAAAUUGAAACGUUACGGAUGCAUUCAAUCGUUGUCAUUAACUACCAUCUUAACUCCUUUAUCCCAUUCAUAUAUGAUCCUCAUUCGAUGCACCUCUCCUCUCUUCAGUCGGUGGAUCUCAUUUAUAAAAAGGUCAGCCGUCAUGCCCUGAACAGCAUCCUUUCAUUCCUUACAAUCCAAAAAAAAAAAAUUCUGCAGAAUGGCGAUCUCAUCUAUCCUUCUCACUGAUUUAAACUCAGGUCGCUGUAGGCCAUCGACGAAGUCUGUUUCCUCAAUUCUGGGAGGCGAAGAAUGUGCAGAGAGGCGGCGAGCAUAUCUGUGUUGAUAUGAUUCCUCUUGACUCGAAGGUAUCUUCGGCGAUUUGAAAAACAAACACUUUCCUUUUCUUUUGAGAUUUAUAAAUAACGAUGGGAUUAAUCAUUUGAACAUUAUGUUAUGUGCUUAAUACGUUGCAAAUCGGCUCCAUAACGUCUCUGCCAUUAUUCAGUCGAUGCAACUGAGGACCCCUUUACAUCACUUAAACCAAGAGGAACUAUUGGCUCCCACUACGACACAUUCAAUACCCCUCCCCUUCUCCAUGGUUACAGCAGAAAUCUUCUCCUAUAAAUAAGGAUGUAAUCUUCAAUUAAACUCAUCACUAUGAUGAUAAAGUUUUGGGUUUCAUCCAGGGAUAUGAAUGUGUAUUUGAUAUUGGUAAGUCAUUGCUCUUUUUGCUUUUUGAUUAAUUGAUCUAUUGAUUCUUUGUGUUUGAUGUGAUUUGCUACCUUGCAUUAAUCACAGAGGUACACCAGAACAUCGCAUUAGGACUUUCACACUCAAGAAAGAUGAAGCCAUAUGCGUAAGUAGACAUUCUAAAGGGUCUAUAUGAUUCAAGGAUAUUAUAGGCUGUUCAUGAGGCCUGCUUAGUUACUAACAUAUUUCUAACAAUCCAAUANNNNNNNNNNNNNNNNNNNNNNNNNNNNNNNNNNNNNNNNNNNNNNNNNNNNNNNNNNNNNNNNNNNNNNNNNNNNNNNNNNNNNNNNNNNNNNNNNNNNNNNNNNNNNNNNNNNNNNNNNNNNNNNNNNNNNNNNNNNNNNNNNNNNNNNNNNNNNNNNNNNNNNNNNNNNNNNNNNNNNNNNNNNNNNNNNNNNNNNNNNNNNNNNNNNNNNNNNNNNNNNNNNNNNNNNNNNNNNNNNNNNNNNNNNNNNNNNNNNNNNNNNNNNNNNNNNNNNNNNNNNNNNNNNNNNNNNNNNNNNNNNNNNNNNNNNNNNNNNNNNNNNNNNNNNNNNNNNNNNNNNNNNNNNNNNNNNNNNNNNNNNNNNNNNNNNNNNNNNNNNNNNNNNNNNNNNNNNNNNNNNNNNNNNNNNNNNNNNNNNNNNNNNNNNNNNNNNNNNNNNNNNNNNNNNNNNNNNNNNNNNNNNNNNNNNNNNNNNNNNNNNNNNNNNNNNNNNNNNNNNNNNNNNNNNNNNNNNNNNNNNNNNNNNNNNNNNNNNNNNNNNNNNNNNNNNNNNNNNNNNNNNNNNNNNNNNNNNNNNNNNNNNNNNNNNNNNNNNNNNNNNNNNNNNNNNNNNNNNNNNNNNNNNNNNNNNNNNNNNNNNNNNNNNNNNNNNNNNNNNNNNNNNNNNNNNNNNNNNNNNNNNNNNNNNNNNNNNNNNNNNNNNNNNNNNNNNNNNNNNNNNNNNNNNNNNNNNNNNNNNNNNNNNNNNNNNNNNNNNNNNNNNNNNNNNNNNNNNNNNNNNNNNNNNNNNNNNNNNNNNNNNNNNNNNNNNNNNNNNNNNNNNNNNNNNNNNNNNNNNNNNNNNNNNNNNNNNNNNNNNNNNNNNNNNNNNNNNNNNNNNNNNNNNNNNNNNNNNNNNNNNNNNNNNNNNNNNNNNAAACCAGUGUUGCUUCCUCUUUUCUGAUGCAGCUUGGGAUGCAACAACUGGUAACUGUGUCCUGGGAUGGCACAUCUCCGACGCUGAUGCAACAUCAGCAAGCAACUUUACCUCAAAACGCCGUCAUGUACCCUCGGCCCUUGUAGCAGAGGCUUUGGCGUUGAAGACUGCAGUCUCAACUGCAGUUCUACGGGGUGCUACUUCUUUAGUGGUAUCCUCAGACUCGAAGACGCUUAUCAAUCUCCUAGUGGUAAAGGAGAAUCAUCUUCAUGUCCAAGGAAUAUUGUUUGACAUCCAUCGACUUUGUUCCACCCUUAUCUUUGUUUACUUUCAAUUUGUACCUCGCAACGCAAACUCUUUGGCGGAUGCUCUUGCCAAAUCGGCACUCUGUGCUUUGAAGAACUCUCCAUGUGUGGAUGAGUAAAUUAACAUUGUGAUCUUUGAACUUGAAUGAAAUUAUGGUUUGAACAAAAAAAAAGACUCUUUUUGGAUUCAUGGGGUAGGAUGAUUAGGAUGAUUAAGUGAUGAUCUAGAAUGUUUAGAGUAGAUUAAUAUGUUUCCUUGCUGAUUGAGUGAUCUUAAUGCUAAUCUAGAGUUGGUCAUAGAUUGGAAAUCUAGACAUUUCAUUGCCCUGAAGGUGUUCGAUGAAAUGUCUGAGCCAACUCAACAUGCUCUUAGCUUACCCUACCAAAUGCAUUUGAUGUCAAGGGAGUUUAGAAAGUUGAAUAAUAUGUUCUUAAUGAUUGCUUGAUUGACACAAAUCAAAGACAUUUGAUGUUUGAUCAAUGAGAGUAAAUGAGCAUUUGUCUUGACAAAGAACGAAUUGUUAUCUAGACUUAGAGAAAUGUGUUGAUUGAAACCUUGCUAUUUUAGAUUAAAUCUUAGUCAUCUGAAAUCAAAUUCUUAUACCCAUGAUUCCUCCUUUAUCCAUUUGCUUGAAAGUUUGCUAGAACGUAGCUCGAACCAGUAAGUCAAGCUAAGAAUUAUUUGGGGGCAGCUUCCUGUUAGUAAAUUUCAAUAGAAUUCUCAAAACCUAAUUGAUGAAACAAAGAACACGUAUGUUUUUUUAGUCAACGGAGACGGCGACGUUCUUUUAUUUUUUUAAAGCUAUUUUACUUUUAUUUUUUUUUAAUUUUAAUAUUCUUUUUCUCCUAAUCCUACAUGGCACUUUGGUUGGUGUUAAUAAUAGAGGUGAAUUUGAGAGUUCACCAUAGAGGGUGAACCAAAGUUUUGUUCGUGAAAUAAUACAUGAUAUUCCAUCUGUUUCAUAAUAAGUGUCAUUCUAACAUUUUUUUAUUGUUACACAAAAAGUGUCACUUUAUGAUUUCAAUGCAAAUUGUACUUACUUUCAGCUGAAAAUUAAUUGCAAACUGUAUUGAUUUUAUAAAUAAUUUUAUUUAUCUCAAAUACUAUUGGUCAGAAAUGUGUAAUUAAUAACAACUUAUAUAUAUUUCAGUUACUUUCUUAAUCUGUGUGAAAAAUGUCAAAGUGACACUUAUUCAGAAACGGAGAGAAUAUAGUUUAAGAAGUGUUACAAAAAGCGAGGUAGUAGCUGAUUUAGAGACUGGAGUUGGAAGUCGACCUAAAACUAAACUUAAAAGCGAGGUUAAGAAAGCAAAGAUUUACCUCGAGGAAAGAAAAUUAUUGACAAAAGAUUUUCAAAAAACUUUGUACAAAAUUUAAAAAUAUUCCAUAAGAAAAUUAUGAUAAUUUCUCUUGCUUGAGAAGUUGGCUAGGGGAACCAUGAAAUCUACUAGUACAAGUAUAUAUUGAAUCUUAACGGCAAUUUCGAGUAGCUUUAUUUCUUUUAUUAUUGUUAUAAAAGUAAAACAAACAUUGAUAAAUGUAAAAUAAUUAUAUAAUUAAAAAUAAAAAUAGUUAUUAAUUAGACAAGCUUUGGAUUUUUAACAAAAAUAACCAAAACAAACAGUGAACAUAAUAUUACUUUCGACUGAAAGUAAACAAAAUAUUUUAAAACAUAUAUAUAAUAUAAUUUUAGAUAUUUUAGAUAUUGCUCGGGUGAGUUUAAUUCUAGUUCUAUAUAAAAUAAAGUUAUAUAUGUUUUUCCAAAGAAAACUGCAAUUUAAUAAUGGAGUACGAAACAGAAAAAAAGAAGUUAGACGCUCUCCAUACAUAAUGACAAUGUUGUGUUACAUAAAAUAAACCACAAAGAGGUUGACAAUUUUUAUUCCUUGAUAUAGCACUUAUUCAAACAUAAAGCAAAUUAAGAGCUCCCAUCAAACAGACUUAAGUUCUAAGAAAAGGGUAAAACUCAAACCUUGCAACACAGCUUCUACACAUUAGUCUAGCUCCUUGUCCUUCAUCGAAGCAGAAUGGAUGCCCCAAGACAAGCCACUCUAGACACACAUAGCAAGAACUCGCAAAUAACUCGUUCGUACAUUGCAACAUUCCAUAAAACUUCUUUUUCCCAAUCAUCAUCUCCCCCGUUGCGUACAGUGGCCCCCUGAGGUCGCUGUCAGUCGUCUUGUUGAUUACAGACAAUAGCUUAUCGGUGAAAUCCAUCUUCUUCUUUUCGAAGAUCUUCUUAUCGCCGCUCACGGAUUUUGGAUUGCUUAUACACAAAUAAUUAUCGUAGUGGACUCUGUUCGGUAGGGCC